rnacentral:lncRNA from 1 species
GUUUUUUUUUGUGAUGAACAUUGCUGAAUGUUCUAACUGCAUGCAAAAUUUCAGAUUGAAAUGACAUUUGUGGAGGUCUGGGCAAAAAUAACAAAAUCGAUGCUCCAAAAUGCAUCCAACAAUAGUCUUUUUGGAGCACCGAUUUUAUUUUUUUUGCCCAGACCUCCACGAAUGUCAUUUCAGCCUGAAAUUUUGCACGUAGUUAGAGAUUUUGUCAAUGUUCAUCACAAAAUAUAUCAGAUUUUUUUUUGAAGUUUUUAAUUUUUUUUGGAUUUUACUGUUCAUGCGGGAGCAUAUGAGUUCGGGAUCAAAUACUCCAUGUCCAUUCAGUACUCGCAGUAUCAUGUGGACAUGAAAGUUACAGUUGAACCUUGGCCCUUGACUUGACUGUAUGGUGAAGCAAACAGGCAAAUCCCACAGAGGAUGCAUGUGGGACUUCCUAAAAAAAUCACCAACGAUGAUAUGUGGUUUUAUGAGGUGGUGGAUGUACGCGUCCUAUGUGUCAUCGGUUUCGCAAGGCGGGACUGGAGUUUCAAAAAAAAGUACGAGGUGACACUUAUACGCUGGUGAGACUUGGACGAGGCCGCUACUCCGGUGAAACACAAACUGUCUGCAAGAAACUGGGACAAUUAAUUGGCCGAAGUAAAUCUACUUGCAAGAAAACCAGAUCAACAUGUCACAGUUUCAAAGGCUUUUUCAUAUGACCAUCCUGAUUAACUUGGGAGCCGGAUUGCACUGUCGAAGGGCAACAUAACAGAGUUAAAAACAAAAUAUGGAUUGAAAUGGAAAACACUAUUGUAUCAAACCAACCAACAGCCAUCCCGGUGAAGAAACAACUUCACAUUGGACAUGGUUUAUUUCUGUCACCACGGGCACAAUGAACCAGGAAAGGGAAAACAUCAUAUUCACGAAAGUAUCCUUCUAAACACAUCAGAAAGCGGGUUGGAAUGAGCAGACCCUCGCGUCCGUGUACACCUUCCCUGGGAGGCAGUAGUAGCCCUCCUCCGGUGCACAGUGCGAGUCGUCUGAGCAGAUGCAAAGCCCCUCAAUGGCGCAACGCUUCUCGAAGAUGGCAGGGCUCCCAUUGAUGCCGAGAACUUGGUCGCUCCACUCACUGGAGAAGAUCCCAUCAGGGUCAUACCUACGCUUCACCUCCAGGAACUUGCCCGCCUUGGGGUGCUUGGCCAUUGCGCCUUCAAAGGCAAAGUUGCGGUUCUUUCCCCAGUGCGGGAUGGCGUUGUACUUGCGCAGCGCCAUCUGCUGGAGCUCGUCGAGCACCUCAUAGUGCGGGUUGGGCUCGCCCUUGGUGUAACUCCGGUAGUAGGCUAUAUCAAAGUCGAUCGAGUCCUCUGGCUUGCCGAGGUAGGCAGAGGAUGCCUUGACGUAGCGGAUGAGCAUACCGCCACUGGUGUCGAUUCCACAGAAGGAUAGCGGACAACGGUCACGGAGCUCUUGCAUGUCGGCAACGAAUGCUGGCACCUUCGAGAGCGCGAUGCUAUAUGCAUUGGUGUAGAAGAAGGUCCCCUGGAUGCGUGGGUCCCAUGCGCAUGAGGUGAGGAGCGCGUCUUCUUGGCUACCAAUACAUGCGCCAGACGCUUGGAUCUUGUGUUGGAACCCCACCACUGGGUACCCAGUGAACAAGCUACCAUUGUUUGUGAAGCCAUAUGCUGCCGUCUCAAACAACGAUACCGUCGCAUUUGCCGCCUUGCACCGGGCGACGGCAUUGAUGUUCUUCUCGAGAAGCUCCAUGGUGACUCUGCUACUGAUGAGCGGGGCUGUCGGGUUGGAGCGGAAUCCUAGGUGGUCAUUGAGGCCGUCGCCCACCGUCUUGAUGGUCACACGGUCAUCCUCGCGGUAAAUGACCUUGUGGAGCUGUGGUAGCCACGCCAUAUCGCCGAAUUCGUGGAGGUCGCCCCACCUUGCCGCCUUUUCUGCCAUGUCUGAGUCAUCACGUGUCACAAAUGUCACCGACCGCUUGAACAUCGGCUGCAAUGCCAGUGUAACCUGAAUAUAUGCAUUGUUAAGAAAACUCUAGAAGAAAUGAUCGAUUAAUUAAUUUGUUACAUAGACUUCAUAAAUUAGCAUAACUACUUAUUGGACUUCUAAUUUCUUUAGUAGUACUGCAAGAAUUAACCUUGGGCCUUUAGGCGCAUCAACUCCUAAUAACUCAAGCUGAGAUGAGUUGGACCCUGAGAGCAGGCUAAUAGGGAAACCUUCUUUUCCUCCUUCCUCCCUCACGUGAAACACUAGGAGCUAGAUCCACGACAUCGAUCUACCUACUCUCCAAUGAGAUCAUGCCCCCUCCAUUCGUUCGGCACGUCGGCAGCUCGUUUAGGCGGCAGUACUGGUUGUUCGGUGGUCUCGAAAUCUUGAUGUAAUUUUAUUACGUUUGAAAUGCUCUGUACUUCCGAUGAAAUUUUAUAAUACUAGAUCUGAUCCUUUUGGCAAAAAAUAGUAUAAUCGCUCAUAUCUCUCAAAAAAAUGGAUUUGCUAAUUCCCAGUCGCCUAAGAAAUAGUUAAUUCUUAGGGACGUGAGGACUAUCUGAUCUCCAUGUUACAAUGCAUUUUUCUUCAUGUUGCCUUUUCAGUUUUCUUGUUUUUGAGCAACUACCUAGGGUAGGGCGUUUAUAUAUAAGCUGUUCCUAUCAAAAAAGAUGAUGUGGCUUUUUCACCUUUUAUAUUUCUAUUUUAUUUCUUGCUUUUUAAUACUUUUUAUUUUUCUUGUUAUUAUUACUAGAUAAUGCCCCACGCGUUUCUGCAGAAUUUAUAGCAAUAGAUAGUGAAAAUAAUUUGGUACUUAACAAAAUAAAAAUAAAUAUUGAUGAUGUGGAGGACUUGCAUGUGCUUGAUGAUGUUAAGUCUUUGCAUGUGUUGGAAAAUUGACGGUGGACAGGGGCGGAGCUAGGCUAAUGCAAGGGUAUGCAAUGCAUACCCAAUCUUUUUUGCAAAAGAAAUUCAGUACAUAAGCUCCUAUAUGCCUUCAUAUCACAUAUGGCAAUCUUUUUGUAAGUAUAGAGAAGAGAAACGAAGAAGAGAACAAUUCCAGCGCCACUUGGGCCAAGAUUGGGUUGCUACGUUGCUAGUUAGCGCUACUGGGCCUUAUCAUUGAGGCAAUGAUGCGGCUGGCCGAUUGAAAAAGCCGAGGAGACAGCUCGACCUGGAACGUGUCGCUUCGAUCGUUCUAUUCAACCGCCGUUGCGCUGCGCUGCGCCUCCUCCGCCGCCUGUGACGCACAUUGUUGCGCUGCAUGCCCGCAUCCGCCAUCGGCAUCGUUGCCGAUCUGCCAUCUUGGAUCUAGCAGAUCGAUCUCCUCGCGCAUGUUCGCUGCUUCGCCUCCAAUUGAGGAACGGCGGCCGCGGCGGCAGCACCAGUGUACACAUAUCGGGCACCGAUUCUUGUGAUUGUUUUUUUCGAGUCAGUGAGUGUUCAUCUUGAUCUCUUCCAUUUGUUAGUUAAGAAGAGAUGAUUAUUUUCACUCCCUAAAAUUUUUUGAUUGACCUAUUGUAGCAGCCAGUAAUUUUGGGUGUGGUCUGCAUUCGCUUGCUAGAAAACUUGUGAAGCAGUACAGAGAAAACAAGGUGAAUCUCAUGCAUAUAAAUUUCUGAAUUAUGAAUAUUUGAAUUUGUGAGACUGCCCACCAUGCCAGUAUGCCGCCAUCACUAUCUAACAUGUUCUAUUAUUAUUAUUAUGAACUUUUCUAUUUCUUACAAUGUCGUGAAGCAAUUUUUUUUUACCAUGCAUACCCAUAUCGGAAAUCCUGGCUCCGCCACUGACGGUGGAGGCCUUACAUGUGCCUGAUGAUGUGCUAGAAUAAUAAUAGGUAGUGGGUUGCAAUUAUUUAAAAAUAUAGGAUUAAUUUGCACACUUAGAGAACAUUAAAGCUCCAUUCUUAUCAAAAAAUUAAUUGUUAUUGCAUGUUCUUCUUUGCUCUUGUUUUUUUUUUGCUUCACGUUUCCACUUUUUUGAUACACUGGAGUUACACAUAUUUGUGUUGCUUAGUUCCAUUGAAGAAUCCUCCAACAAUAUUUCCAACUAUUAUUGAUUUUUUUUGUUCUAGUUAUAUUUUAUUAAAUAUAUUCAAAUGUGCAACUCGGUUGAUGUGAACCUUUUUGUAAUGCUAAAGUUGCACUUUUUUUCUAAGAAUGUGGAACUACUCUAUUUAAAAAGGGGAGUAUCUAGAACUCAUCUAGAUGAGAUAUAAUUUGGUCUCAUUCAUUUUGAAAACAACAACAGAUACAACUCACGUCAGCACACACGCAUCUUAUAGCAUCACAUCCAAUGGCUAUAAAAGGUGAAUGAGACCAAAUUAUAUCUCAUCUAGAUGAGUUCUAGCAAAACUGUUUAAAAAGUGCAACCAGGUUGUUAUAUGUACUACUACUAUUUAUCCCGAUUAUUAUGCAUAACUUGUAAUUUCCAGGUUUCAUCAUUGUAAAAAUACCACUUUCCGAAAAGUGCAACCGGUUUAGUUAUGCACACAAGUUGCAAUAUUCACGCACCUGGGAAACGACGCCAAGGACGCCGAGGGAGACCUUGGCGGCGUCGAGGUCGGGAUGGUCGGCGCAGAGCUCCCGUACCACCGCGAACCCUUGGCUGGCCGGCGCCGGCGUGACGAUCCUCAUCCCGACCACGUACUCGUGCACGGCGCCGCCCUUGCCCUUGAGCGAACUGCCGUGCGCGCCCGUGGCCAGCAGGCCCCCGAUGGUGAGCCCCGACCAGUACGGCGAGUGCGGCAGCGCGAGCCCUUUCGCGGCGGCCGCCUGGAUGAGGUCCCGGAGCACCAUGCCGCUUUCCACCGUCAUAAGCCCCUUGGCGACGUCGACGCUUGCCACCCGGUUGAGCCGCUCAGUGCUUAUGAUGGUGCCAUCGCGGCCGCCGGGGCAGGCCAGCUUGGGGAAGCUGUGGGAGUGCUUGGUGGCCACCUUCACCUUGCGCUUGGCCGCCGCCGCGGCUGCCACGGCCGCGACUAGCUCCUUCUCGGUGCGCGGGAAGGUGGCGUUGGCCGCGCGGCAGAUGGUGCGGUCCAGGAAGGAGCCGAACGCGUUGGAGACAGUGCAGUCGGCCAUCCCGCGGGCACAGACCACAGGCUCCGGCGGAGGGCUCGAGCCGGCGAGGCCGGCCAGGAGCACGAGGAGGAGAACCGUAAGCACCAUUGUUAAGGUGUAAUUAACCAAGGCUUUCAGUGCUAGGCUGCUAGCUAUAUAGCUUGGUCAAGCUCCCGGCACGGUGUGCAGCAUAGUCCCCGCUUAUUAAACAAGCUAGGCACGUUCGUUCAAAGUCAAUGCAAAACCCACAUGAUUAGAUUUAUGAAGGUUAUCUGUCGUACCUACGAGCAAACGGCCAACUGGCCGGGUUUUUACCGGACACAAAAUGUUUUUACCCAACAUUGAUGCCUCUAUGAAGUGUUUGACACCACAUCUCAUGUUCUUGCAUGCACGACGAUAACACCAACAUCACCGUCUCAAGGAGACAGUAGGACUCUAUGCCGGAGUUUCGUUCUUGACAGACAAACUCAAGGAGAGGAUCAAAGCCCAAAAGACCAACUCAAAAAUGAAGUGCGGCCAUCCACCACAACGGAGAGGCAGCGGAACGCCCCUCCUUUGUCGCUGGUCGCCAGAGUAGCAUGCAGAGGGGAGGAGAGUCCACGUGCUCACUGACAGAGCGUAGAGAGAACAAAGUAUCGCCCUCGGUCACGGGAGGGGAAGGAAUAAAUCGAUUCUUCUACAUGGACCCCUUUCCAUUAAUUUGCAUAACGAAAAUAUGAAGUUCCAGUAACCAAAAAACAGGUGACAUGAAAGAGAGAGUAGUGUGUUCGGAGGAACGGCACAGUAAACCCACUGCUCAUGCCUACAAUCAAGACAUGAACCAUGGGGCAAAAACCCAUCAUCGUAGAGCUAAGCCUAUCCUAACAUUACAUGAGACGAGAAAAAAAACUUCAGAUAAAACGCAAUGCAACCAACAGACUGGAGUACAAAAAGAGUCACUGAUAUGUUUACGGAAUUAUUAUUCCUUAGAUUAGAGGAAUCCUAGCUGCGACCAGUCGACGAGAUGACUCCGGCACCCCGCGAAGACUACACGAGCUUCUUUGAAUACAAAAGCAAGCCGCCCAUGCACGGAGUAUAAUAACAGUGGCGAAAAGUUUAUCAAUUCUCCCCUUGUUUAUACCUUUAGACCAAUUAUUCUUUAGCAUUUUAAGGGCAAUAAUGUGAUGACUUACAAAAGGAAUGUGUCCACAAGUCAACUUGCAGGCGGCUAUAGGAUCAAUUCUUGCUUGAAUAGUUGGGUUGUCGUCACCAAGCGUGGAUUAAAAACCUCCUUUGCUUUGGGUUGUUGUUUAACAUUCGUUGUCACUGGAACACGGAAACCCUCCAGCUACUUUUUAUCAAAAACUUUGGACCAAAGAUGCAAAACUUCAUCUAUGACCUCAUCAGAUUUGAAGGAUUUUUUAAGAAUUCCAAAGGCAUCCGUUUCCCAGGUACGUGAAAAUUGCACCUUGUGUGUGAAACCUGGAAAUUACUCCCUCCGUUCCUAAAUAUUUGUCUUUCUAGACAUUUCAAAUGACUACUACAUACGGAUGUAUGUAGACAUAUUUUAGAGUGUAGAUUCACUCAUUUUGCUCCGUAUGUAGUCACUUGUUGAAAUGCCUAGAAAGACAAGUAUUUAGAAACGGAGGGAGUACAACUCAUGCAUCACCCUGAACUUAUGCUUCAACACUGGAGCGGGAGACAACGGGCUGCCGUUUGGACGACCAGGAGAUGAGUGAUGGUCCAAGGUAGACGCAAUAACCAGAGGUCGAGCGGCGCGUGCCAGGGCAGCCGGCCCAAUCGGCGUCAGAAUAAGCCGCCAGAUCCAUAGACGAAGAAGCCUGAAGUGACAAUCCAAGAUCCAAGGUACCACGGAUAUAGCGCAGAAUGCGCUUCACUGCGGUCCAGUGAGCAUCACGAGGAGCAUGCAUAUGAAGGCACACCUGUUGUACAGCGUACUGGAGCUCCGGACGAGUAAGAGUGAGGUACUGAAGAGCACCAACAAUCGACCUGUAGAACGGAGCAUCUGAAGCAGGAGAACCGUCUGUGGCAGAGAGCUUGGCCUUCGUAUCGACAGGUGUGGCAGCCGGUUUGCAAUUAAGCAUCCCGGCGCGGUCCAGAAGCUCAUGAGCAUACUUCCGCUGAUGAAGAAAGAAGCCAUCUGCUCGACGAAUAACCUCGAUCCCGAGGAAAUAGUGCAGAGGACCUAAGUCCUUAAUGGCAAACUCAGCACGAAGAUGAUCCGUGAGCUGUCGAAGAAGGGCAGUCGAGCAUGCUGUCAAGAUGAUGUCGUCGACAUAGAGCAGCAGAAAAGCAGUAGCAUCACCCUGGUGGUAGACAAACAGUGAAGCAUCGGAGUGAGUGGAGCGGAAGCCAAGCUGAGUGAGAAAUGUUGCGAUGCGCUGGUGCCACGCGCGAGGAGCUUGCUUGAGCCCGUACAAAGACCGAGAGAGCAAGCACACAUGAUCCGGAGAAGACUCAUCAACGAACCUAGUCGGCUGCUGACAGAACACCUGUUCCUCAAGAUGACCAUGAAGAAAAGCAUUCAAAACAUCCAUCUGGUGCACAGGCCAGGAGCGAGAGACCGCUAGCUGAAGGACAGUCCGAAUUGUCCCGGGUUUGACAACCGGGGCGAAAGUGUCGGUGAAGUUAACACCUGCUCGUUGACGAAAACCCCGAACGACCCAACAGGCCUUGUGUCGGUCCAGAGUACCAUCCGGAUGGAACUUGUGCUUGAACACCCACUUCCCGGUGAUGAUGUUGGCCCGAGGAGGACGGGGAACGAGCUGCCAAGUGUGAUUGCGUUGCAAUGCGUCAAAUUCCUCCUUCAUCACGGCGAACCACAUGGGGUCACGAAGCGCGGAACGGGCGGAGGUUGGCAGGGGUGACGGUGACGAGGAAGACGUCGAAGCCACGCAUGUGUACUCAUCCGGAGGGUAGCGAGUGCUCGGCCGAUGGACACCCAGGCGCGACUGAGUGACAGGGCCAGCGGGUGGUGGCACAACAGCAGCCACCGGUGCUGGCGCCAAGUCCGGCGGUGAAGAAGUCGGCGACACGUCCGGCUGCGAAGAGGCCGGCGACACGCCCGGCUGCGAAGAGGCCAGGGCAGAAGCCGGCGAGGCCGGAGAGGCCGGAGAGGCCGGCCCAGAGGCCGGCGCGGAGCCCGGCGAUGAAGUAGCCGGAGAGGUCGGCUCGGAGGCCGGCGUGGGUCCUGGCGAUGAAGCAGCCGGAAAGGCCGGCGCGGUGGCCGGCUCGGAGGCCAACGUGGAGGCCGGCUCGGAGGCCGGUGAGCCUGGAGAAGCAGCGGGCAAGAGCCGGAGUGCCGCGCGUCCAGGGGGCGCCCUACGCCGUGGGGCGAAGCCAGGGCGGAUAGGGUCGGCCAAAGAGGGGCCGGGCGCCGAUGAAGAAGCCGCCUGCUGUUCCUGUUUAAUGGGAAAACACAACUCGUCGAAAUAAACAUGGCGGGAUGUGAUGACACGGUGGGAAACCAGAUCAUAGCAUCUAUAGCCCUUGGUGUUAGCCGGGUAACCGAGGAAGACACACGGAAGGGAACGUGGGACAAGUUUAUGAGGAGAGGUGGCGGCAAUACUAGGAUAACAAAGACAACCGAAAAUACGAAGACCGUCGUAUGAAGGAGGAGGCCCGAAGAGGAGGUGGUGAGGUGUAAAGUUCCACCGGGUGCGACAGGGACGAAGGUUAAUGAAGAGGGUGGCAGUAGCGAGAGCGUCGGGCCAGAAGCGAGGUGGCAUGUAUGCGUGGAAGAGGAGGGUACGGACGCAAUCGUUAAGAGUGCGAAGAAUGCGUUCCGCCGAUCGUUCUGCUGUGAAGUGUAUGGACAGGUAAGAUGAAAAAUAGUGCCAUGUCUGGAGAGAAGAUUGCGGAUGGUGGUGUUGUCGAAUUCUUUCCCGUUGUCUGUUUGCAAAGCUAGAAUGGGACGACCAAUUUGCCUAGACAUGUAAGAGUAGAAGGACAUAAGGGUGGCAGCAACUUCAGACUUCUUACGUAAUGGAAAGGUCCACACAAACUGAGAAUAGUCAUCCAAAAUAACAAGAUAAUAUGAGAAACCAGUGUUACUAGCAACAGGAGAGGUCCAGACAUCACUAUGGAUUAACUCAAAAGGUAAUGACGCAACUGUGGAUGAAGCACUAAAGGGAAGGAGAACAUGUUUGCCUAGACGGCAUGCGUGACAAGAAUGCGCAUCCGUUUUAUUACAUGUAAAAGAAAAAUCCCGAAUAAUUUGACGAAGAGCGAUGGAGCUAGGAUGACCGAGACGGGCGUGCCAAAGAUCAACGCCGGCGGAGAGUGCAACUGGUCUAGCAUGUGAAGAUGAUGGAUGCUGGACGGAGUAUGUAUCGCCGGGACUGUCACAGCGGUGAAGAACCAUCCGGGUGAGGGCGUCCUUAACAGAAAAACCAACUUUGUCAAAUUCCACGGUUACAGAGUUAUCACGAGAAAUCUUACAAACACAAACUAAAUUCUGAAUAAGCUCAGGAGACACGAGAACAUUAUUGAGAUAAAGUGGUCUAGAGUUGGAGGGAAAACUUGUGGAACCAAUAUGAGUGACAGGAAGACCAGCACCAUUACCGACAAUGAUACGAGAGGAAGUGUGAAUAGGAGACGCGAAAGAGAGGUUACCCGGGUAAGCGGCCAUGUGCGAAGAUGCACCAGUGAUCAUAAACCAAUCGCCACCGCCGGUAUAAGCCCCGGUCGGAGGCUGUUGAUGAAGUGCAGCAAGCAGGGCCGGAUCAUAAGAGACCGGCGCGGGGUAGCCCGAGUAGCCGGUCACGCCAGUGCUAGUAGGUGGCCUGCAAUAGCCAACUGGAGCAGGAGUGUAGUAGGGUGGUGGAGCGACCGGACCGGAUUGCUGACCAGCGAAGAAGGCCUGAUGACCGGAGGGACCGGGCCCGAGGAGGCUUGGAGCAGGGGGGCGGGGCACGGGCAUAGUGUAUGCGUGCACAAACCCGGUCCAGGGGUUGUGGCCACCCCCCCAAGGCGGCGUCGGCUGCUGCUGAACGGGCCCGGCGCGCGGCUGUUGUGGCUGCUGCUGGCCUUUGCCGCGGCCAUGGCGCCUCUGGCGCUGCUGCUGCUGCUGCGGCAAGUGUUGGGGAGGAGCCACAGGAGCGGCAGGGGCCAGAGGCCGCUGCUGGUACGGGGCGCCGUAGGCGCCGUGCUGCGCUGGAAGAGCCGGUGGCCGGGGCGCCUGGAACGGCGCUGGAAAGCCGGGGGGCGCACCCGAGGGCGGAGGGCCACCGCGCGAGUAGCCGGCGGCGAAGGCGGUGUGAACGGCACGGGAGCGAAGAUGCUUUAACCGGCGUUCCUCGAGACGAAGAUAGGCCACCGCCCGCUCGUAGGUAGGGUUCGCCAUGAGGGUGAGGUUGGAGGCAGCGUUGCCAAGAUCCUCAUUGAGGCCGGCGGUGAGGUUGGAGAGGAGCAACUCGUCGCCCACCUUGAAGCCGACGUCAUUGAGCUCGUCGGAGAGGGUCUUGAGGCGCAUACAGUAGUCGUCGACGGAGGAGUCAUUUUGAUGACACCUGAAUAACUCCUGUUGCAGGAAGACGACCCGUUGGAGCUUGUUGUCGGUGAAGAGACCGACGAUCUUGUUCCACACCGUGCAUGCAUCGUCCUUGUCGCGAACGACGGUGUGGAAGAUGUCCUUGGACACGGUGAGGAAGAGCCACCGGAUGAUGGUGGCAUCGAUCGCCAGCCAGUCGGCGUCGCGGUUCAGGACGAAGAGGUUGGCGGUGUCGUCGAUGUGGUCCUGCAGAUUAUACUCACGAAAGAGGAGAUUGAAGUAUGUCUUCUAAGCAUAAAAAUUCGCCUCUUUGUGGGAGAGGAUCACCGGGACACGACGUUCGAUGGGAACAUCGCGAAUGUAGGCGGGAUCGGGAAGGGUGGAGGCGGAGGAGCCGGCGGAGGAGUCAAAGGGGUUCGGCGGCUUCACUAUGGGAGGAGUGCAGGCGGCGGACUGGUCGGAGAGGUGGGAACCCGACAUGGCAGCGGCUAGGGUUAGGUGCGGCCGGGGUGUGUUUAGGGUUUCUGGUGGAUGGCCGGCGCGGGGGCUAGCGGCGAGGGGGCUGGUGGCUAGCGGCGGCCUGGGAGAAGAUCGCGAGUGGGCGAGCGGCGGCAGGAAGCCAGCGGCGCGGGGGAGAAGCUAUGGCGGCGGUGAGGACUCGGCGACGCGGGCGUAGGCUGGGAAGCGGCGGCGGCUGGGAGGCAACGGCGACGCGCUUAGGGUAGGAGGGAUCGGACUACGGUUGAUACCAUGUAGAGAAUUAUGCAACUCACGAUAUAUUGAUCGGGUGUAAUAUGCACGUAUAUAUAAGUACAAAGGAUAGCCACGUCCUCAACUAUACAUGGAAGGAGGAGGGCUUGUUGUAUAAGAAAUACACAUAUAAUAUGUACAUCUCAACACAUAUAAAUAAAGUUACUAGAUUCUUUAGGACCGUGUCCAUACAUGAGUGCGUAUUCAUACUGUUAAAACCCACAAAUGUACUGCAUGCUUAUAUAACAUGAUCUCGACCUAUGUCAUAAUUUUAUGUGUCUCCGCUUAAUGUGAAAUACAAUUAGUGAACCUACGAACCCGGUCCAAUUCCCUUAUAAUGAAAAUCUCCAAAUCAAUUUUAUAUAUGCAUUUUUAUUUGCACUCAUUAUUUAUUUCGAAAAUUCAAAAUACGUUAUACCAAAUUCUAUAUCUAUUACUCCCUCUGUUUGGAAUUACUUGUCAUAAAAAUGAAUGUAUCUACAACUAAAAUACAUUUAGAUACAUUCAUUUCUUGGACGAGUAAUUCCGAACGGAGGAAGUAUUUCUUACAACUAACAAAGCUAGUGAGAUUGACAAUUAAGUUUUUAAUUUAUUGUUGUGCUUCUUGACGGAGAGUGUUAUCUCUAUGGGUUGGUACUUUGGCUUCUCAACUGAGAGAAUAACAGUCCACCGCUAAAAACCUUUGCACUUGGGGACCCCAACAGUUGGAUACCAAUCUAUAUGUAUUGGAGCAAGUAAGUUUUUUUUUCUGAUACCAUUCUCGAGGAGGUAACAUUAAGUUCUCUAAGGUAAUAUUGUGAAUUAAUUUUACUUUCUUGUUAUUUACUUCAUUUAAUUAUAUUUUUCAUAACUAUAACUAAUUCUUUCUUGAGUCACACCCCAUUCUAUGUGGAAAAAUUGCCAAGAUUAAAAAACGUCAACAAAAUUCUAAACUAAUAAUCGUCAUGAAGUCAAUGGAGAAAAGCAAGUAAAAAGAUGAAGUGAAAGGGAAUAUGAAGGACAAAGUCAACAAGGCAAGAAGUAAAGAGGCCCAAGUCUAGAAGUGGCGGAAGCGGCCAAAACCCAUCAUGGUGGAGGAAUGAGAGAGAUUGGUACACCAAAGGCUACAAAAUUUCUCCCUCUCCUAGCCCACCAUGGACCAUUUUUAUACCUUUUACCUAUCAUUUCAAGGGCCCGAGUGUAACAACUCUACUUGGGACGUGGAGUAUGUGAGCUUAAGCUCACAUGAUCUCGGAUGAAUAGUAAAAUAUGAAAAAAUAUUCAAAAAAAUCUGAUUUUUUUCUAGCAGGAAAUAUUGAUGUUUUUUCUAUAGACAUGCAAAUUUUCAUGAUGAAAUCACAUUUGUGAAGGUGUGGGCAAAAAAUAAAUGGAUGCUCCAAAGAGAGUGUUUAUGAAGCAUUUUGGAGUAUCAAUUUUGUUUUUAUUGCCCAGAUCUCCACAAAUGUGAUUCCAUUGUGAAUUUUUUUCAUGCAUGUAGGGAAAACAUCAAUGUUUCUUGCAAAAAAAAGUCAGAUUUUUUUUACUAAUUCGGAUUUAUUGUUCAUCUCUAAUCAUGUGCUCGAGCUCACAAUAGGACAUUCGCUCUACUUCUUCUAUGAGAUUGUACCAAGAUAAUGUUACAAUUGAUAAGUACAAAUAUGCCUUCAAUGAGUUGAGUUCUAUGUAGACGACUAUAUUGGAGUAUGAUGGUGUAGGAAACUGCCAGAUCCCUCGUUAGGGGUCCAAGCGCAGUUGGAAGCCACCAAUCAGAUGGCACAUGAGGGUUUUACCCAGGUUUCGGCCUCCGGAGAUUAAGACCCUACAUCCUACUUGUUCUUGAUAUUCAUUGUGAAGAGAUACCUCUUGCGUGGGGUUAUAGUGGUGUAUGAGAUUUCUACUGAAAGUUUCUAUCUGAGAGCAGAUGGUGAUGAGAGCCCUCUAGCCUCCUGUUAUAUAGAUGGUGGAGGCCAGGGUUCUAUAGAUGGGCAAAUGCGAUCUGGGGCGCCGUAGCAAGGUGUCCUAUGGCUUUUAUCUUCUCCUUGGAACGUCGGAGUUGGGGUGGUGCUCUCAUCGGGUGAUGACUCUGAGCACGUUGCUACCAAUGAAGAUGCCAUUUGAUAAUAUGCCCUAGAGGCAAUAAUAAAUUAGUUAUUAUCAUAUUUCCUGUUCAUGAUAAAUGUUUAUUAUUCAUGCUAGAAUUGUAUUGACCAAAAACUUGAAUACUUGUGUGAAAACAUAAACUACACCGUGUCCCUAGUAAGUCUCUACUAGACUAGCUCGUUGAUCGUCAAAGAUGGUUAAGGUUUCCUAAUCAUAGACAUGAGUUGCCACUUGAUAAUGGGAUCACAUCAUUAGGAGAAUGAUGUGAUGGACAGACCAAACCAUAAGCAUAGCAUCAGAUCAUUUAGUUAUUUGCUAUAGCUUUCUUCAUGUCAAGUAUCAGUUACUUAGACCAUGAGAUCAUGCCACUCCCGGACAUCGGCCGGGGGAAUACUUUGUGUGUUAUCAAACGUCACUUCAUAUCUGGGUGAUCAAAAAGGUAGUCUACCGGUAUCUCUGAAGGUGUCUGUGGGGUUGCAUGGAUCAAGACUGGGAUUUUUUACUCUGAGUGACGGAGAGAUAUCUCUGGGCCCUCUCGGUAAUACAACAUCUCACAAGAAGCUUCAUGUGCCUAAUGAGCUUAGUCACGGGAUCCUGUAUUACGAUACGAGUAAGGAGACUUGCCAGUAACGAGAUUGAACUAGGUAUGGAGAUACCAACGAUCGAAUCUAGGGAAGUAACAUAUCACUGGACAAAGGGAAUUGCAUAUGGGAUUAACUGAAUCCUUGACAUCGUGGUUCAACUGAUAAGGAUCUUCGUUGAAUAUGUAGGAACCAAUAUGGGCAUCCAGGUCCCGCUAUUGGCUAUUGACCGGAGAGGAGUCUUGGUCAUGUCUGCAUGUUCGAUAGUGCUAGGGUAGUAAUCAGAUAUUAAUAGCGAAAAGUCCGAAGGUUGUUCGGAGUCCGAGAUGGGAUCUGGGAUAUCACGAGGAGCUCUUGAAUGGUUCGGAGGUAAAGAUUUAUAUAUGGGAAGUCAUAUUUUGGGUUCCUGAAAAAGUUCGGUUUUUUCGGUAUUGUACCAGGAAGGUUCUAGAAGGUUCCAGGAGUUCCACCAUGGGGCCCAACUACUCGGGAAGGGCCCAUAUGGACCGAGGGGUGGGGCUAUAUCCCACAUAGGCUGGCCGCACCAUUCCCCAAGGCACAUAUUGUUUAUCUCCAAGUUUAAAGUGAUUUCUCCCAUGUGGCCGGCCCUAGGAGGGUUUUGGACGCCCUCCCCUGCCCCCUAGCCUAUAUAUAGAAAGCGGAGGCACAUGGGGGCAGCCACCCCUUCACCCUUGCACAUUGCCUCUCCCAACUCCUCACAUGUUCCUCCGAUACACGCUUGGAGAAGCCCUGCCAGAAUUCCACUUCUGCCACCACCACCAUACUGCCUGGCCGGUUCUGAUCUCAUCUACCUCCUCUGUUUCUCUUGCUAGAUCAAGAAGGAGAGGACGCCAUCGAACUGAACGUGUGCUAAUCUUGGAGAUGUCUUUUGUUCAGCACUAGAUCAGAUUGGACCGAGAUUGGAUCAUGAAGAGUACGACUACAUCAACCGCAUUACGUCAUUAACACUUUCGGUCUACAAGGGUAUGUAGACACACUCCCCUCUUGUUGCUAUACAUUUUCUAGAUUAGAUCUUGGGUGUUCGUAGGAUUUUUUUUUUAUUUUCGUGCUUCAUUCCCCAUCAGUGGCAUCAUGAACUAGGUCUAUGCGAAGAUGUAUAUGCACGAGUAGAACACAAAGUUGUUGUGGGCGUUGAUGUUCAGAUUGCUUACUUCCCAUGUCUUAUUUGGAUUCGGUGGUAUUGUAGGAUGAAACGGCUUGGACCAACCUGACAUGUCCUCGCACAUGAGACCGGCUCCACUGUUUGACAUGCAACUUGUAUUGCAUAAAAGUGGCUUUGCGGGUAUCUGUCUUUCCUACUUUAGUUGAAUCUAAUUUGACGAGGGUGGUCCUUGUAGAAGGUUAAAAGGCAACCAUCAUAUCACCGUUCUGGUUUUGCGUAGAUAAGAAUAGUUCUUAUAGUUUGCCUCAGCAGCCACAUAAAAAUUGCAACAACAAAGUAGAGGAUGUCUAACUUGUUUAUGCAGGGCAUGUUGUGAUGUGGUAUGGCCAAAAUGUGAUGUGAUAUAUGUUGAUGUCUGGGAUGAUCAUGUUUUAUAAUAGGUUCACGACUUGCAUGUCGAUGAGUACGGCAAUCGGCAGGAGCCAUAGUGUUAUCUUUAAUGUAUUGUAUGACAUGCAUGUCAAUCAUUAAACAUCAUGCAAUUGCUUUACUUUAUCGCUAUGCAUUAACAAUAGUUAUAGAAGAAGUAGUUGGUGGAGAAAACUGCGAUGACGACACAAUGAUGGAGAUCAUGAUGAUGGAGAUCAUGGUGUCAUGCUAGUGAAGAUGGAGAUCAUGCCGGUGCUUUCGAGAUGGAGAUCAAAAGCCCAAGAUGAUAAUGGCUAUAUCAUGUCACAUAUUGAUUGCAUGAUAUGUUUAUCCUUUUAUGCAUCUUAUUUUUCUUAGCACGACGGUAGCAUUAAAUUAUGCACUUGAAAACAUACGUAGUUCCCUUUGUCCAUCGGUAUGUUACUUGCCCGAGAUUCGAUCAUUGGUAUCUUCAUACCUAGUUCAAUCUCAUUACCGGCAAGUCUCUUUACUCGUUCUGUAAUAAAUCACCUCGUGACUAACUCCUUAGUCGUUUGCUUGCAAGCUUGUGAUGUGUAUUACCGAGAGGGCCCAGAGAUACCUCUCCGAUACUCGGAGUGACAAAUCAUAAUCUCGAUAUAUGACAACUCAACAAACACCUUCGGAGAUACAUGUAGAGCAUCUUUAUAAUCAUCCAGUAACGUUGUGACAUUUGGUAGCACACAAGGCAUUCCUCCGGUAUCCGGGAGUUGCAUAAUCUCAUAGUCGAAGGAAUAUGUAUUUGACAUGAAGAACGCAAUACCAAUAAAGCUGAACGAUCAUUAUGCUAAGCCAACGAAUGAGUCUUGUCCAUCACAUCAUUCUCCUAAUGAUAUGAUCCCGUUAUCAAAGGACAACUCAUGUCCAUGGUUAGGAAACCUUAACCAUCUUUGAUCAACGAGCUAGUCUACUAGAGGCUCACUAGGGACAUGUUGUUUGUUUAUGUAUUCAUACAUGUAUUAAGGUUUCCGAUCAAUACAAUUCUAGCAUGAAUAAUAAACCUUUAUCUUGAAUAAGAAAAUAUAAAAUAACAACUUUAUUAUUGCCUCUUGGGCAUAUUUCCUUCAAAUCCGAAGUCAAGUUUUUUUUUUCUUGCUAAGAAUAGGUCCUUUCUAGAGAAGGAGAUUCUCUCGAAAGAAGUGAGUAAGAGGAAAGUAAAACUUGAUGAGGUAGUCGCACCUUCUCUCGAACUGGAGAGUAGCACAUCAUAGAAAUAAGUUCCCGUGAUGCCUACACCAGCCAGAGAGGAAGCUAAUGACGAUGAUCAUGAAACUUUGAACCAAAUUACUACUGAACUUCGUAGGUCAACCAGGGUACGUUCCGCACGAGAGAGGUAUGGUAAUUCAUCCUGUCCUCAAAGUCAUGUUGUUAGAAAAUGAUGAACCUACGAACUAUUAAGAAGCAAUGAUGAGCCCGGAUUCUAACAAAUGGCUAGAGGCCAUGAAAUCCAAGAUAGGGUCCAUGUGUGAAAAAAAAAAAGUAUGAGCUUUGGUGGACCUGCCCGAUGACUGGCAGGCCAUUGAGACCAAAUGGAUCUUUAAGAAGAAGACACACACAGAUGGAAAUGUCACCGUCUAUAAAGCUCGGAGACAGUGAAGGUGACAAGGACGACGACUUGACCUCGAUCUAGAUCGACUACACGUGGUUCUGCUCGUGGACGUGGUCGGUUGAAAGUUCAAUAUUUUACCUUGGACCAUUAUGCCCUUCUCGGAUUACACAAAUUAGAAUUAAUCCCCCACCAGCGGACGGCUAAUAAAAUUCGGAGGGGGAGGGGCAAGUACUUGGUAGUACUCCCAAUACUACACCAAUCACCAAAAGGAGCUCUACAAUGCCUAGAAAAAUUGAAAAGUAGUCCCUCCGUCUCAUAAUAUAAGAGCUUUUUUGACACUAGUGUGGGAUGGAGAGAGUACAUAACAUUACUUUUGAUUAAUCCCAAGCCUUGUGCAAUCCCAUGUUAAUGUGAAAUAAGCGUGUAAAUUACAAUGGAUCUAACAAAACAAAUUCUUACUCUAACUGCAAUGUCAAACCAUGCAUACUAUGGUCAAACCAUGCAUAUAGCAUUUACUAGUAUUAUAUAGGGUCCGCGAUACAUCAUAUCGUGGCGACUGUUCUGUUUUUAAGCCACUAGUAAACGAGCACGUGCAACGCACAUGUAAUCUUAAUCUGGCUUGAAGAUAUACCUGGAUUUUCUUUAGGAAAGUAGCAUCAAAGGAAAUAGUGUGUGUAAGCACCUCCAGCGGCAGGUCAAUCUCUUGCUUCAAAUGGGUUGAAAUUGUACUAAUCCAACGUAGUUAAUGGUAUAUGCAAGUGACCAGGUGAGGGGGCACAUACCUUGUCCUCAGGCUGCUAAAAGAGACAUCCAAAAAUCUAAGCACAAUCCAUUCAAAUCAGCACAAUUGAUCCACCACCCAGCUUAACCAAAAGUUCUAUAUCAUUGUGUAACCUAGUUGUUUCAUGGUGCAUGUUGGUAAUGAAGCGUAAUAAAUGUUGAAUGUAUGCACACAAGGCUGCUUUUUGUUCACUUUUACCAAGUGUUCGCACACGAACACGUCACGUGUACCCUCGAUGCCGGGGGUGGUGCACCGCAGCUCACGUCGAAGGAGUCUCACCGGAAGCGCGAUUCGCAAGUCGACCGGCGAGAGCUUUUGAAGACCCGAAACCCUACACUCCCGGGAGGGACCCCGUUGGGGAGUGCGGCGGCUAUGGGCUGCCCUAGAUCGGUCAAGCCGCCCCUAGAGCCUCGGUAUUCGCAGCUCUCCAACAUGAAGAACGAUGAAGAAUGAGGGAGCAAGAACGAGGGAGGAACAAAACGUAGAUGAAAAAGUUGUAGAUGCGUUUGCGAUUGUGUGUUGUUCAAUCGGCCGUCACCUCUCAUCUAUUUAUGAGGCGGCUGGACUUCCCGUACAAGAAAAGGACUAAAAAUUCCGUCCAAAACAUCAAAAACCCUAACCUAACUCGGACAGGAAUCUUUGGUAAUUUCUCGGACCAACUCGGUCUCACCGACUGGUUCAUUUCGGUCCCACCGAGUGAACGUUGCCAACUCUCUGUAUCCUUCUGUAAUUUUUCGGAUCAACUCGGUCUCACCGAUUAUUUUGCUUCGGUCCUACCGAGUCAACAUUGCCAACUCUCUGGUAAAUUUUCGGACCAACUCGGUCUCACCGAUCAAAACAAUUCGGUCUGUCCGAAAUGACUUUGCAGCUUCUGUUUCUGACCUUGUUUUGCCUCCACAGGUUGCAUACGACCUUGGAUUAAGACGAUUUUUAUAUCAAAAUUGACCGUUUCGACGAGACGAAGACAACUCAUGUUGAUAAUUUUUCCAUAUGAGGACAUAUUAAUUGGGUUUCCAGCUAUUCUUUAAUCUGGUGCAACAUGAGCAUAUCUAAAUUUGUCAUAACUUUUGCAUCCGAGCUCCGUUUUAGACCAUUUUCUUAUCCAUCUUGAUCUUCUCGAAAAGAUCCAUCCCCGUGGUGACCUCCAAUCAUAAGUUUGAAUUAAUCUUGACAUAGCUUAAAGAAACUUUUACCAUUGUGCCACUUUUGAGCGUCAACACAUGCCCCCCUGUUUUUCGGCAAAGUUAGGGUACCGAAAAAUAACUUGUACCAUAUUUGUUCUAAGGACGAUGUCAACACUCCAUCGGCCAUUUAUAUGUUCUUAGGGUGAUAAUUAUAUAUCGGCCAUGUUUAUGCUAAGGGCGAUAGUUAUAUAUCGGCCGUUUGCCUAUCUAGGCUUCUUGCCACACACUUGGGUGAUACUUCUUUAAAUAUUUGCCAUUGAGAGCUCGAGGUAAUAAUGUGCCUUGUACGGAUUCCACCAAAUAUGAGUUUCCGGGAACCACUCUUGUAAUCUUAAAAGGACCUUCCCAACUUGGAGACCACUUCCCGAACUUUCUAUCUUUUGAACCAAUUGGUAGAAUCACCUUCCACACGAGAUCGCCAAAUUGAAAAUUCUUCAACUUGACCUUCUUAUUGUAAGCUCUUGCCACCCUCAACUUAUCACUCUCUAUGGCCUUUAAAGCAACCAAACGUUUAUCGGCAGCUUCAUCAAUAUUGUCCAUCAUCAAGUUAUAGAAGUCCACAGCCGAUAAAUCAUUUUGUUUGGCUAUUCUCAAAGCAUUCAAAUUCACUUCCACUGGUAAAACAGCCUCCUGACCAUAUACGAGCUCAUAUGGAGUCACCUUUGUAGCACCAUGCCUUGAGAUCCUAUGUGCCCACAAAGCUUCGGACAAUAGCUCAUGCCAUCUCCUUGGAUUAUCCUCAAUCUUCUUCUUGAUGAGCUUGAUUAAUAUUUUAUUACUAGACUCAGCUUGUCCAUUGGCUUGGGCAUAAUACGGAGAGGAAUUGAGCAACUUUAUCUUAUAUGAUUCAGCAAAUUCUCUUACUUGAUGUGACAUAAAGGAUGAACCUUGGUCCGUAGUUAAUGUUUGAGGAAUGCCGAAUCUAUGAAUAAUAUGCUCAGUUAUGAAUUGAAUUAGGUUUGUAUGUGUCAUAUUUUUGAGUGGUAUUGCUUCAGACCAUUUAGUGAAAUAAUCAGUCGCCACCAACACGAGCCGAUGCCCCUUUGAAGAAGAAGGAUGAAUCUCUCCAAUAAAGUCUAAUCCCCAACCUCUAAAAGGCCACGGCUUGAUAAUAGGAUGUAACAUAGCAGCAGGAGCCAACUGAAUAUCACCAAACUUUUGACAAGCUUCACAUCCUUUAUAAUACCGGAAGCAAUCAUUAACCAUCGUCGGCCAAUAAAACCCAGCACGUCGUAAUAGCCAUUUCAUCUUGGGAGCCGACUGAUGAGUGCCACAAAUACCUUCAUGGACCUCUCCCAUAGCAACUCUCGCUUGGUCCUCGUCCAAGCACUUUAAAAGAACAUCAUCAACCGUUCGGCGAUAGAGACCAUCAUCUCUCAUUGUGUAUUUGAAAGCCAUACACCGAACAAUCAUGUCCACCCUUUUACUAGGAUCACACAAAUAAUCAAUAAUGGGUUUCCUCCAGUCUUGAUUUUCUCCUGCAUUAAAUUUUUCAUUAGUGGCCGAAACGGUGGGCUCCGAUUCGGCCUCCCCUAUGUUGGCAAGACUAGACAUCGGCCUUUGAGAAAUAUGAAACAUGCCACGAUCAACAUGAUAGCCGAAUGCUUGUUGUGCCAACUCAUUUGCUCUCCAAUUGUCAUGUCUAGAUAUAUGAGCAAUGCUAAAAUAAUCCAAAUCUGAAAUUAUAUCUAGACAUUUAUCAAGAUAAACAUUAAGUAAUUCGUCAAAACAUUGAAAGACUUUGGAUAUUUUUUUCACUACUAAUAACGAAUCACCAAAAGCCUCAAUAUGUGUAGCACCUAUGGCAAGCAACAUCUCUAAGCCGAAUAACAGUGCUUCAUAUUCAGCUUGAUUAUUUGUGCAAAAGUAUUCUAAGAGGCAUGAGGCUUCAAAAACAGCACCAUGAGGAGAUAUAUAAACAAUACCAACACCUUGUCCAUUGCUACACACUGAACCAUCAAAAUAUAAUCUCCAUUGUACUAAUGAAACAAAGUUUAUAUCAAUAUCAUGCUUUUCAUCAAUCUGAUGCUCAACAAUAAAAUUAGCAACAAUUUGGCCUUUCAUGGGUUUCAGAGAUUCAUAAGCCAAAUCAUAUUCAAUUAAAGCAUAAGCCCACUUGCCAAUUCUACCACUAAGAAUUGGCCUAUGCAACAUGUAUUUGAUGACAUCAGUUUUACAAGCUAUAAUGCAAGUACUAGGCACUAGAUAAUGUCUCAAUUUUGUGCAAGAAUAAUAUAAGCAUAAGCAUAGUUUCUCAAUAAAUGUAUACCUUGUCUUGGCGUCCAAUAACCGUCGGCUCAAAUAAGUAAUAGCAUGCUCCUUUCCUUCGGUCUCUUGAGUCAAAAUAGCACCAAUAACACCCUCCUCCGCUGCAACGUAAAGUAUAAAUGGCUCCCUGUGCCUGGGCGCUUUCAUAACCGGAGGAGUGCACAAAUAUUUCUUAAUUAUAUCAAAUGCCUCUUGCUGUUUUGCCCCCCAAGUAAAAUCAACAUCAUUCUUUAACCGAAGGAUAGGAGUAAAUGCAUCAACCUUCCCUGAUAGAUUGGCUAUGAACCUCCUCAAAUAAUUGACCUUGCCAAGGAAUUUUUGCAUAUCUCUCUUGCAUGUUGGAGCCCCUACUUUCUGUAUAGCUUCUAUCUUUUUGGGAUCAAUUUCCACGCCAUCUUCAUGAAUAAUGAAACCCAGAAACUUCCCAGCCGAUACACCAAAGGCACACUUCAAAGGAUUCAUUUUCAGCCCAUAUUUCUUCAUUCUUUCAAAAGCCAAACGCAAAUCGGCUAAGUGAGAUUCAAAAGCAUCUGAUUUGACAACAAUAUCAUCAAUAUAAACCUCAAGUAUAACACCAAGUAAAUCAUGAAAAAUUAAAUUCAUAGCCCUUUGAUACGUGGCACCGGCAUUUUUUAAUCCAAAGGUCAUCACUGUCCACUCAAAUAAACCAAGAAAACCGGGACAUCGAAAAGCCGUUUUGGACAUGUCCUCUUCGGCCAUAAAAAUCUGGUUAUACCCCGCAUUACCAUCAAGAAAGCUAAUGACCUUAUGUCCAGAAGCAUCAUUGAUAAGAAUAUCGGCUAUUGGCAUGGGAUACUCAUCUUUAGGUGUAGCUCUAUUCAAAUCUCUGAAAUCAAUGCACACCCUCAACUUGCCAGAGCCUUUCUUCUCUACUGGUACAAUGUUAGAAAUCCACUCGGCAUAACUACAUGGUCUACUAAAAUUAGCUUUAAGCAAACGACCGAUCUCUUCCUUGAUCUGGUCAUAUGUUUUUGGAUUAAACUUUCUGGCCGAUUGCUUGUAUGGUCUAAAAUCGGCCUUUAUAGGUAACCGAUGCUCCACUAGCUCUCGGCUUAAACCCGGCAUCUCAUGAUAUUCCCAUGCAAAGCAACAAACAUAUUCUUUCAAUAGCUCGAUCAACUUAGCCUUAUGAUCGGCUCUUAAAUUUUCGUUUACAAAUGUCGGCCUAGGAAUUGAACCAUCUCCUAUAUCUAUCUCUUCUAAUGGAUCGGCCGAUGUAAAACCUUGUCCUAACUUAUCCAUAUCAUCUAACUCUUCUAUGGACUCAUACAUAUCGUUCUCAUUGGACCGAUAUUCUACAAGACGCUUUUGUAACCACUCUGAGUUAGGAUCCAUUUAAAUACAUCAUACCUUGGAGCCGAUUAUCGCCAACCGGCUUUAAAGAAACGGGCACGAAACCACUUUUUGUGGCGCUAAGAAAAUCAUAUUCUGAUAAGUCGCGCCCCGUCAAGCAAGUAGCAUUGGGAUGUUGCCAAUCCACCGAUGCAUCGGCCAAAGCAACACAAGCCGAAUUAUCCGCAUGAAUGACUUCUACUUCAUCAUCAACCCAUUGAAUCAAAAACUGGUGCAUAGUAGAUGGCACGCAUUGGUUCGCAUGAACCCAAUCACGGCAUAAUAUCACAUUGUAGUUACCUUGCACCUCGGCGACAAAGGAUGCGGUAGCCAAAGUUUUGCUUCCCACCGUAAGCUCCACAUACAUCACACCUUUGGCUUCAGUUUUCUCUUUGCCUUCAAAUUCAUUAAGCACCAUGUUGGUCUUUAUUAACUCUUCAUCACGCAGCCCCAAUUUUUUGAAGACCGAAUAUGGCAUAAGAUUCACCACAGCACCACCAUCGACAAGCAUUCUAGCAACCGGCGAUCCAUUAAUAUGACCUUUAAGGAACAAUGGCUUCAAGUGCGUCGCCGGUUCUUUUGGCUUCUCGAAUAUAGCAUUUUUAGGACCAAAAUCUAGCUGAGCUACUUCCCCUUCUUUACCUAUAGCACGAAAUUCAGCGGGUAAGUAAUACACCAUAUUAAUAUCCAUACCUUCAUGAACUGGUGUAGACUCAUAAUCAAGCAUUUCAUCUCCUUCCGCAAGCAUGUCCACUGACUCCGAAAUAUCUUCAAAGGAAGAGGAAGUAGUAGGCAAAGUGGACGAUGUAAUAGUAGCCGCAUCGUCCUCCAUUGGUGGUGUAGGUGCUGCUAUGAUCAAUGCAGAAGCUGCAAUCUUUUCCUUUUGCUUUGGCCUCCACACUUGUUUUGGGGGUACCAUGGGAUGGCUUUCAUCGAAUAAUUUAUCCCUUAGCUUUUCUGCUUCUUGUUCCUCCUUCUCAUGACUCCUCAUGCGCUGCAAUCUCCUUUUUUGCGCCUUGGUCAGACCGGAAGGACACCACUUAGGCUGAGUAUAUUUUGGAUCCUUCGACUUGGCCUUGCUUAUGCUAGCUUCAUGAUCAUUAGCCAUGGGGCCUUGCUGGACCGCAGCCACAUCUUUAUUAGAAUUAGCCGGAUUAUCAAAAAUAAUUGGCUCUUUGAUUAUUAAUUAUUUAGUGCCUAUCAUAAUAGUUUCAUCACUAGCAUUCUUCUUCUUUUGCUUGCUAGGCUCUGAAAUUUCAGCACUUGGUGAUUUGGCACGCCACGGUUGACCCUUUUUUGAUUAUCUUGCAUUGGCCGAUUGACACCAUUGUUCAAACGGCCUCGUGUGGGAUAAGAAAGCCUCUCAUGAACGGGCCUCCUUGGUUCUGCCCAACCCGGAUGAAAAGCAUAAGGGGCCAUUGGGGGCUGCCCCCAUCCUCCAUUGAGGCCUCCCAUGUAGUAUGGCGCAUAGGGGGGCGGUGCCAUCCAUGGUCUUGGUGCCCAUGACCCAUAUGGCCUUGUGUGAUGAUGAGAUUCUUCCCUCGGAGGUGAUCUUGAGAGCUUCAAAUUUGAUGAGUGGUUAGAGCUAGAACCGGCCGCUUGAUUGGCAUACUUGGACAACAGCAUAUCAAAAGUUGGCUUGAUUCUCUUGCGCUGCACUUUAGCUUCAUUCGUCUUCCACUUGCCAACCUCUGGACUCUUGGGCUUAACAAAUUUGACAUGAGUGUUCUCUUGCACUUGUGAUUGCCCCCCGAGUGUAGGAUUCUUGAUGGUGAUCUUGAUUACCUCCUUGCCACCGGGUUGCUUGUCAAGCACAGCUUGUCUCCCCAAGACCUUGUUGCUCUCGUCAGUUUUCCUGGGCUCACCAAUGACAAUAUUAUUUUUAUUAGCUGAUUUGGCUAUGUUGGGCCGAAUUAACAUCUUCUUCCCCUCCAAAUCCAUGGUGUUCAUUGGGAAAGGCUGCUUAUCAACUUGCAUUUCAGAAAAAUUCAAUCGUCCGUCAUUAAUGGCCGAUUGUAUCUGUCGUCGAAAAACAUUACAAUCAUUAGUAGCAUGAGAAAAAGAAUUAUGAUACUUGCAAUAAGUACGCCGUUUCAGCUCUUCGAACGGCGGUAAAGUAUGAGAUAUUCUAAUAAUCUUGGCUUGCAACAAAGCAUCAAAUAUUCUAUCACACUUAGCAAUGUUGAAAGUAAAUUUCAUCUCUUCAUCGCGAUUCUUAUGAAUCGGCUUUAAAUCAUUGCAAGUAAAUGGUUUGGCCUUAGAUGGCCAAACAAAUUUAGCAGCAUAAAUAUCACCCUCAUCGUCCGAGUGGUCACUAUCAUACUCAACCAUAUUCAUUUUAGGACGAUCAGUUUUAUAUCUAUGCACCUCUUUAAGAUCUUUGCUUCGGCUUUCUUGAGCCAAAGCGCUUUGCAAGACUUGGUUGAUAUUUAAAAACUCAUGUCCUUCUAGCCUUUCUCUAAUGUGAGUUCUCAAACCACUAAGCACAAGAUCAGCCAAAUCUCUCUCGGUUAUCACCAAACUAUAGCACCGGUUUUUUGUAUCUCUAAAUCUCUUGACGUAAUCGAAGACCGAUUCAUCAUGCUUUUGUCUAACCGAUGUAAGAUGUGACAACUUAAGCUCGUUAUCACCACUAUAAAAAUGAUCAUGAAACUUUUGUUCCAAGUGAAACCAUGUAGUAAUACAACCAGGUGGUAACGCAGAAAACCACGAGAAAGCAGUACUGGUUAAAGAUAAAGGAAAAUAACGUACUCUCCACUCAUCUCGUGAAAUUGCCUCACCUAAUUGUGCCAAGUACCGACUAACAUGCUCCCAGGUGGUUUUCGUGCCCUCUCCAUUAAACUUAACAAAAAUCUGGAAUUUUAUAUCCCGGAGGGCAUUGAAUUGCAUCAAAGUAUUCUGGAUAUGGCUUUUGGUAAAUACGGUUCCUUGGUAACUCAACUCCAAAAUUCUCUCGGAGCAUCUUAGCCAUCUCCCCUCUAAGAUUAGCUAGACCAUCAUCCACGGUGGACGAUGCUUGUGGCGGUAGCAUAGGAGGAGUAGGGUUAGUAGUUGCAGGUGUGAAUUGUGGCAUGCAUGCCGAAUUGUAAUUCGGCAGUGAUCUAACAGUGUUUGCUCUUAUAGGUAGGGUUUGGUUCGGCAUCACCACCGAAUUUGGCAUACUCAUGAUAGGAUUAAUGGGUGCAGCAACAAUUUGAUUUGUGGGGCUAGGAUAAAAAUUCAUCAGCACGGGGGGCGCCGAUGAAAUAGGUAAAGUUGGACUAGGGAUUUCUGCGGUAGCAGGCACACCAACAUUACCACUGGAUGAUUGAGGCACACUAUUUUUAGCAUUACUAUUUUCCAAGAAAAUUUGGUAUAAAAGAUUAUUGCUAUCAGUAAUGCGACUAUCAAUUUCAGCCCAUACCUCAGGAGAGAAGGUAUUACUUUCAGAGGGUUUAACCUGUUCAUCAUGAAGAGGAGGAAACUUGAUUUCUCCAACCGGAGUGAUAUUGCCUUGACGAUCCUUUUUGAACUUAGCGAGGAACUCCUGCAUCUCCUUCUCUUCACGCGCCUUCUUGUACUCCUCAUAAGCUUGGCGAUGUUCCUCCGUUAACUCCUCAAAAUUGGGUUUGAUUAUGUUAUCGGCGUCGAUUUCCGAGGGCUUGGGAAUCUUGUCGUUGCCAGACAUGAUGGAUGAUGAUGAUCAUUGAUCUUGUCCCCAACGGAGUCGCCAAAAAGUGUGUUCGCACACGAACACGUCACGUGUACCCUCGACACCUGGGGUGGUGCACCGCAGCUCACGUCGAAGGAGUCUCACCGGAAGCGCGAUUCGCAAGUCGACCGGCGAGAGCUUUUGAAGACCCGAAACCCUACACUCCCGGGAGGGACCCCGUCGGGGAUUGCGGCGGCUAUGGGCUGCCCUAGGUCGGUCAAGCCGCCCCUAGAGCCUCGGUAUUCGCAGCUCUCCAACACGAAGAACGACGAAGAACGGGAGUGCAAGAACGAGGGAGGAACAAAACAUAGAUGAAAAAGUUGUAGAUGCGUUUGCGAUUGUGUGUUGUUCAAUCGGCCGUCACCUCUCAUCUAUUUAUGAGGCGGCUGGACUUCCCGUACAAGAAAAGGACUAAAAAUUCCGUCCAAAGCAUCAAAAACCCUAACCUAACUCGGACAGGAAUCUUUGGUAAUUUCUCGGACCAACUCAGUCUCACCGAUUGGUUCAUUUCGGUCCCACCGAGUGAACGUUGCCAACUCUAUGUAUCCUUCUGUAAUUUUUCGGAUCAACUCGGUCUCACCGAUUAUUUUGCUUCGGUCCUACCGAGUCAACAUUGCCAACUCUCUGGUAAAUUUUCGGACCAACUCGGUCUCACCAAUCAAAACAACUCGGUCUGUCCGAAAUGACUUUGCAGCUUCUGUUUCUGACCUUGUUUUGCCUUCAAAGGUUGCAUACGACCUCGGAUUAAGACGAUUUUAUCAACCGCUUCGACGAGACGAAGACAACUCGUGUUGAUCAUUUUUCCAUAUGAGGACAUCUUAAUUGGGUUUCCAACUAUUCUUCAAUCUGGUGCAACGUGAGCAUAUCUGAACUUGUCAUAACUUUUGCAUCCGAGCUUCGUUUUAGACCAUUUUCAUAUCCAUCUUGAUCUUCUCGAAAAGAUCCAUCCCGUGGUGACCUCCAAUCAUAAGUUUGAAUUAAUCUUGACAUAGCUUAAAGAAACUUUACCAUUGUGCCACUUUUGAGCGUCAACACCAAGCCUGAUUUUGGUUCAGUUUUUAGUGCAUACAGGCUGCUUUUCUGUUCAGUGAAAUGUGAAUUAAUCUUUUGUGGCGUGUCCCCUGAUGGCAGCGCUGACGACCUAGGCCAGGCGGCGUCUCCCUGACGGCCCGACGGAGAGGGACGGGCAUGCGGUCCAGGUAGUGUCCCUGAUGAUCCGACGACCCGACGCCAGCGAACGGCCAGGCAACGUCCCUGACAGUCCGACGAUGAUGCACGGCUAGGCGGUCCAGGCAACGACUCCGACGUGCCCCCGCCGGUCGGCCAGGUGGUCUAGGCGACGUCUCCGACAGCCGGCGUCCUUGAAGUUGCGGCGGUGUUGCUACGGCCGAGGCCACACAAAGGCGAGGGGUAGGGGUGGCACAGAGAUGUGAGGGGCUGCGUCCUUGAAGUUGUUGCAUCGCCGAAGCGAGAUGAUGGGAUGGUGUCGUGGGGCGGUUCGUGUGGUAGUUUCCUUUCCUGUGAAAGAUGGAACCAGAUUCUCUAACAUUGAGAAGAGAAGUCACUUUGCUACAAUGCUAGUCUAGUGUAAAAUGAAGAAGAAAAGAUAGUUAGCAGGUUGUUUACUGUUGAUAUAAAUAAUUUAAAAUUAAUUUUAUUUCAUCAUUAAUGGAUUUUAUGUAAUUACUAUAAAUGUACACAAUAGAUCAUCAAUUUAUAAAUUAAUUUAGUGAUUUUAGCCUUAAUCACGUGGAUAGAAAGAAGGAAAGUUAGGGUAUUAUAGCUUCUCUAACUUUCCUUCUCAAUAUUAGAGGAUCUAGUUCCGUGAAAGGGUACGCAAGGAAGGGGAUCGGGGAGAGAAAGGAUUGAUUAGUUUAAGAAUUAUAGAGGAACGGAGGGAGUACGAACAACUCCAUCCUGAGGGAGUAUAAAUUCCUCUGCCUUCAUGUGCACUCCUCUCUCUAAUAGUUUGCAUGUCCUAGUUACUGGUGAUUUUCUGAUAAUGAACUGAUCCACCUCUCUAGCCAGUGCCACACACCACUGGUUCAGCUGGCAAAUGUCCUUGGAGAUGCUCUGAUCGUGAUGACACGAGACAAGAUACGCUGGCACUUUGAUGAGUGUGGUACCGUACCACAACGCCACCAAUAUCUUCCUGCUGCUUUUGCUCCAAAUUAAUGUGUGCGGACAUCUCCAUAAUCACACGGACGUACCAUGACGAGAUGAGAUAUAUCUGCCAUGCCAUCGACCCGCACUCUCAAGAUCUCAGCGCCAUGGAUUCUGCUCAUGACGACGGCUUUGCGCUGGAGAUGGCGGAGCUGCCGCUGGAGACGCGGUGCCCGCCGUUCGCGCUGCGCCAGUACUCCGGCUUUUAGCUGCCGGAGGCGGUGCUGGCGCGCGGUCUCCCGGCGGGGCGUGACCGGUUCGCGCCGAGGCCGGACGACGUGCUCCUCGCCAGCUUCCCCAAGUCCGGCACCACGUGGCUCAAGGCGCUCGCCUUCGCCACCGUGCACCGGGACGCGCACCCACCGUCCGCUGACGACCACCCGCUCGGCCGCCGCAACCCGCACGACUGCGUCCCGUUCCUCGAGAUCAGCCUCGCGCGCGCCGACGACGUGGGCGCCGCGGCGGCCGAGCUCGAGGCGCUCCCUUCCCCGCGCGUGCUCGCCACGCACCUGCCCUUCUCCCUCCUCCCCGAGCGCAUCCGGAGCCGGAGCCGGAUCGUGUACGUCUGCCGGAACCCCAAGGACGCGCUUGUCUCCUCCUGGCUCUUCACCAGGAAGGCGUCGGAGGCCGUGGGCGUUGACGCCGAGUCCUUCCCGCUCCAGGAUGCCGUGGAGCUCUACUGCGCGGGGCGCUGCCUCGACGGCCCACAGUGGCGGCACGUGGUCGAGUACUGGGAGGCCAGCCUCAGCCGCCGGAACGAGCACCCGGACAGGGUCCUGUUCCUCAGGUACGAGGAGAUGCUCCCCGACCCCGUGAGGAGCCUGAGGACGAUGGCGGAGUUGGGGUGCGCCUUCUCCCGGGAGGAGGAGGAGCGAGGGGUGGACCGCGCCAUCGUGGAGCUGUGCAGCAUGGGGAAGCUCAAGAGCGUGGACGCCAACAUGAAGGGGCGGAGGGUUCAGGCGUCAAGGCCGACGCCUUCUUCCGGAAGGGGGUGGCCGGGGAUUGGAGCAACCACAUGACGCCGGAGAUGGGGAAGAUGGUGGACGAGGCUGUGGAGGACGGACUCCGGGGGUCUGGUUUUAGCUUCGCCGACACAAGCUUUGCCCAAAUGAAAACGACAAGGUCUUGAGGCCAACAAACGCCGUAGUCCAGCACCGGCUCUUUGGCGACCCUUUUUUCAAUAAAACACCGUUGUGUACUUCUAUAUAUAGGGAUUGACUAUUCGUCAUUCUGUGUGAGAAAUAGUUGCUUUUCACCCCUCCUCAUCUAUUUUACGAUUCGUAAAUUUUAUCUUAUUUCAGACGUAAAAAGAGAACGUAAGAUAAUAUAAUCGUCGUAAAAAAUAUUUUAUAUUACAUAAAAUUACGAAUGUAAAACAUAGUGUAAUAUAUAUAUAUAUAUAUAUAUAUAUAUAUAUAUAUAUAUAUAUAUAAUACAAUUUUUCUGGUUUUAUGACCUAUAUUUUUUCUUAUGACAAAUUUCACGAAGUGAAUCAAUAUGAAUAUAACUAUUUGUAUUUUAAAUACAAUUUAUUUAUAAAAUGAUCGUGAGGUUACCUCGGACGAAGAAUAACUUAUUCUGCACCCUUGUGUAUAUAGUAAAAAAAUUAUUUUCAGAAUUAUUGAAUUUUAUACACCGUUUUACUAGAUUUUUUAUGUAGCGUCACUAUUCUACACUCACGCUCACUAUUCCCACGAGUACAUACUCCCAUGUGGAUCCACCUCCUGAGACUACCCACCGUCGUAGCCACGUUUUAAACCCGUUUAGCUUUCCUGAUAAUGAGAUUAUUUUUUGUUAGUUGAAAUUGGCCGGAACAUAAUCCUUUUUUUUAUAGGGAUAACAAUUAACAAAGGUCAGCGUUGAAACUAAACUGCAUCGAUCUAUUCCUCUUGCUACAUACCUCGGCGACGACGGCGUCUCUCCUGCCACCAUCGAUCCACUCUUGGAGCUUCCUCGCGGCUGACGGCGGCUGCGUCUCUCCCACUAACCAUGAUGCAUGCAUCAGCAUGGAAGAAGACCACGCCCCCAUUUCUGCCCUGCCAGUCUCCGGCGUCCAGCGCUCUCCUCUGGCCAGUUCUCCCGUCAGAAUGAGCCAAAAUUCAUACGUGGUACUCCCUCCGUCCGGAAAUACUUGUCAUCAAAAUAGAUAAAAGAGGAUGUAUCUAGACAUAUUUUAGUUCGAGACACACCACCUCUUAUUCAUUUUGAUGACAACUAUUUUCGGACGGAGCGAGUAUGUUACUUACAAUUGAUCUUUUCGCAUAUGUAAACACAUACGCGUCCAUCUAGCUAGCUCGUACAUACAUGUAAAUGAAGCUACCUCUUUGUGUUUUGAUAUAUGUACGACGCAGCGCAAAAGUACUAUUAAUUCUUUUAUCCAUGAAUAUUUUAUUUGACACUCGGACAACGCCAACGACUGAAUCAAUCCCGCCAUCGGUGACAAUAUAUACAUGCGCUCACGUACCUAUGCAUGCAUCACCUCUUCUCACGCAUGCUUCACGUAUGCUUAUAUUUUAUUUCUAUUUCAGAUAUUUCUAUCUUGCUUCGUUUUGUCAUUUUUCUUGUUUCAAGGAUCAAGUUGGAUUCUCAUCUAAUUCAUCCGAACGAAUCAUCGACAAGCAUUCGGGAUCAGCGGAGGCUCGACACAUGUAGAUAGAUGUGGCCGACAGCGGCUUGAUCGUCGUCCUCACGGCCGGUGGCAGCUCAUGACAUGCACACUUAUCGGCAACAUGGCUGGUUGCGGCUCAACGGCGAUGAUGAGAAGCAGCUAGACUCCGGACGACAUCCUCUCUCACCCGCAACACGCGACAAGCGGUGACUUGACGAGAACGAUCUGUAUCAUUAUACUCUUAGGAAAGUCUAUGUACUAGUGGUACACUAUUUUUUUUGGAACUAUAUUAAAUGGAUACAGAUUACCAGUUCCUAUGAAUGUAUGCUUUUUGGUACAUACUCUUUUCCCCAAGGUAAUAUAUAUUUACUUGAGGUUGGUAUAUUUGCUUGUAGUAUUUACUUGGGACAUAAGUUCUAGAUCGCGAUUAUCUAUAUGAUCAGCAUUCUACAAAACAUCAUUUUGUUCUCAAUGGAUAGAGGGUAUAUAAUCAAUUGGGUUGGAAAAUAGUAGGGGUCUCACUUGACAUAAUGCAUGUAUUAUAUACUCCCUCCAUUCCAUAAUGUAGUGCCUAUAGAUUUUUACAAAAGUCAAACAUUGCAAACUUUGACCAUAUUUAUAGAGAAAAAUAGGCACAUCUAGAAUACCAAAUGCACAUCAUUGAAUACAUAAUAAGUUGUAUUUUCAGAUUAUACAUGUUUCGUAUUGUAAAUGUAGACAUUUUUCUCUAUACACUUGGUCAAAGUUCACAAAGUUUGACUUUCAGAAAAAUCUAUAGACACUACAUUGUGGAACGGAGGGAGUACUAACUAAUAAAAUUAGUACAUACCCUUACAACAAAAUGUUAGUAUAUACCCACCCAGAAAGUAAGUAAUGCAUACCCUCUCAGCAAAAUGCAAUGUAGUAUAUACAUUCUCACAAGAAAAUACUACUCCCUCCGUUCCCAAAUAUAAGUCUUUCUAAAGAUCUCAACGAGUGACUACAUACGGAGGAAAAUGAGUGAAUCUACACUCUAAAAUAUGUUUAAAUACAUUCGUAUGUUAUAGUCCAUUUGAAAUGUUUAAAAAGACUUAUAUUUAGGAACGCAGGGGAGUACCAUAUACCCCUGAAGAAAAUAUACUGCUUAUUUUGCUGAGAGAAUAUACCACACACUUUAUUAGGGUAUAUACCACACAUUUAUUUUGAAAUGGAGGGAGUAGUAUAUAGUCAUUCCUAAAAAAACCUCUCAGCAGAAUAUGGUAUAUACCCCCUCAAUAAAAAAGAGUAUAUACCCACCCAGGAAAAAUGGUAGAUAUCGUAUAACUAAACUGUUGGUUUUCGAACGAGUUUUGUAUAGUCUAAUCUCGAGUAGCAUGUUAUAAAGUCGUUUAACUCAAAAGAAUAGUGUAUACUAUAAGUAUAUACUCUAAUUAAAUUACUGGACAGUAUACAUAGAAAACUAGGAGUACAUGUAAGUACGUUUGAUGAGGUAUAUAUACUGCAUAGAAGAAAGAAAACCAACCAAGAAAAUGGCGUUGCCUAUUCCAACUAAUUCUUAACGUAGACGACGCUUGGAGCUGCCUAAGUCCUAGGGAUAAGGUGUGCAUGCAAAGUAAAUAAGCGGCAUUGUUUACUAAUCUGCAUGGCUGGUUGUUACUUGCCGCAAGUGGAUCAUCCACUAACGAAGGGAGUAUGUACUCCUCGGAGUACAAAAGAGGAGAGAGAACAAAAANNNNNNNNNNNNNNNNNNNNNNNNNNNNNNNNNNNNNNNNNNNNNNNNNNNNNNNNNNNNNNNNNNNNNNNNNNNNNNNNNNNNNNNNNNNNNNNNNNNNNNNNNNNNNNNNNNNNNNNNNNNNNNNNNNNNNNNNNNNNNNNNNNNNNNNNNNNNNNNNNNNNNNNNNNNNNNNNNNNNNNNNNNNNNNNNNNNNNNNNNNNNNNNNNNNNNNNNNNNNNNNNNNNNNNNNNNNNNNNNNNNNNNNNNNNNNNNNNNNNNNNNNNNNNNNNNNNNNNNNNNNNNNNNNNNNNNNNNNNNNNNNNNNNNNNNNNNNNNNNNNNNNNNNNNNNNNNNNNNNNNNNNNNNNNNNNNNNNNNNNAUAAGCCAUGACAACAUUUUGCUACAUCAUUGUUCAAAUCCCAUCACAUUUUUUAAAAUCAUAAACAUUCUGGGAUUUUCCAAAUAUUUGUUUUGAAAAUUAUGAACAUUUUUUGAAUAUGCGAACAUAUUAAAAAUACGAACAGUUUUUAGAUCCACAAAUAUUUUAAGAUUUACUGAACAUUGUGAAGUACCAAAUUAUUUAAAUGUGAAAAAAAGAAAAGGAAAAAAUCGAAAAAGAUACUAAAACAGGCCGCCUCACAUGGGCCGGCCCAAAUGGACUUCUGUGUAUUCUCAUAGCGCGCAGAACGCAUUAUAGGAGGUAGUUUUCAUGAAGGGCCCGUGCGUUGCAACGGAAGAUAAAAAUAUUAUAAUCUUCAAUGGUCAUGACCGCAUUUUGCUUUAUCAGUGAGAGCCACUAUCACUCUCAAUUUCGUGAAAUCAUGAACAUUUUUUAAACCUGUGAACAUAUUUGAAAUCAUGAACAUUUUUCAAAUUCAGGAACACUUUUACAAAUUUUCGAACAUUUUCAAAGAUCAAGAAUUUUUUUUGAAUUCAUGAACAUGUUAUAGUAUUUGUAACUAUUUUAAAAUUGUGAAUACUUUUUAAACAUUUUUUUGAAGUGGCGAACAUUUCUAGAAUCAAUGGAGAUUUUUUCGGAAAUUGGUGGAACAAUUUUUUAUCUCCACAAACAUUAUUUUAUUUUAAAUUCUUUUAUUGAAAUAUAUGAUCAUGUUUUAAUCAACGAACAUUUUGUGAAGGAAUAAUGUAUUUUGUAAGUCCUAAUAGUUUUUGAAUUUUUAGGAUAUUUUCAUUGUUGAUUUUUUUAUUGGUGAAAUUUUGUUCAAUCUCAUUAAAACAAUAAUUCACGCACUUUUUAAAAUGGAAGAACAUUUUUUGAUUUCCAGGAGAAUUUAUUUCAAAAUUUUGAACAUUUUUUACAAAAUCUCGAACAUUUGUUUGAAUUGACAAACAUUUUUCUAAUAUUUUAUUUAAAAUUUCACAAUUUUUUAAUUCUCUAAAAACAAUUGGAGUCUCCAAUUAUUUAAAGUAGUAAAAAGGAAAUUGGAAAAGAAAAAGAAAAAAACAAAAUUUCAAAAACAGGCCGCCUGGACAUCGGUCUGCCCAAAUGGGCGCGCUGUGUCUUCUCCCAACGCGCAAAGCAAUAUACAGUAGGUCCCUACAACACCGGCCAGCCCAGGCUGGGAAUUCCGGUGUGUGAAACAUUAUUUUAUCACUUAUAGGUGACAUUGAUGGGUAAUAUUUUGCAAUUUUGAGGGCAAUUUUUGUGAUAUACAGCCAUAAGAAAUAGCCCCUUAUUAUAUGAGAUGAUAGCCUUUUUCGAUAAGUGCAGCUGAAACAAAAAAAAAAGGCAUAUUAAUGUGAAGAUAUAUGGCGGUCACUAAUCCAAUCCUUACAAAAGAAAAUCAAGAAGAGGGAAAAACAGAUCGAGAAAAACAAAUAAGCCAAACAAUCAUGAAAUAAACCCUGGAACCCAGCUCAUUACCUCUCCAUGCCCAACAAAAAGAAAGAACAUGCCGAUUAUACACAUCGACAAAGCAUCGUUGUCCAAAUCUUGAAGCACCUCAUUCUAAUGGCUAUGCAGUUAACUGGGACUCGGUAAAAAGGAAUGAAUCAAAAAUAAAAAGGAUUGAAAGAAAUAAUAAUAAAAGGCGAAAUGUGACACAAAUAAUAAUAAAAUGAAAAAGGAAUAAGGGAAAUCAUAAGACAUACAAAAGGUAAAUGAAAAUGAAAACAAAAAGAAGAGAAAACAAAAAAAAGUCAUACGGAUGUGAAGAUAUAUGAGGGUCACUGGUCUGACCAAGAGCAUGAAGAUAUAUGGAAUUUUGGAGCUCGAGCUCCGUGAAGGCACGUGUGAGUAUGCGUAUCUGGCAACUCUCGUAUAGAAGCCUGUCGAGAAGCAUCCAGCAUCAACAUCGACAAGAGCUUUAGUUAUUUACCCAAAACCACCACACUUUAGGCUAGGGUAACAACUUAGUACCACAUUCGAGGCAGGGCACAAGGAGCCACCAAUUCUGCGCCUAACGAAUAACGCAGAGCACUGAUUGACGGGUAAGAUUGUGAUAAAAGAAAAACUGACAGGUUGGGCCCACCUGUCAGUCAUGAUAAUGACAAAGCUGACCAGUGGGACCCCUUUACAGGGCUGAUGUGGCACAUAUUAGUCAAAGUCAAUAUUUGCCCCCCUUAUGUGGACAAGGGUCCCACUUGACAUCUUCCAAAAUGGGCUCGGCCCCAUACAUCAGUGACACAACUACAUAUAAACUUUCUUUUUUAAAACAUAUUACCGUAAAGAAGCCCAAUUUCCUCUCCAUCGCCGCCGGCAGAGCUUCGUCCUCCUGCAAGGUAAGCGACCUGCCUCUCCCGCACAUCGCCGGCGUCGCGACUGUAAGGGCAUAUUUCUUCCUACGCGGUUUUGAUGAUUGAUGACAAUGCAUUUGCGGACUAAUCAUGUGCAUUGAGCUUUUCAGAGAUCUCAUGUGCACAAGACGAUUCGGUGCCCCUCGGUUCCUAUCAAAGACGGCGGUUUUUACUUUUCUUUUCGGUGGAUUUGAGUCAUAGGAAAGUUGUACUAUUAAGAGGGGGUCCGCUUCGAAAGGUUAGGUUGGAAUCAACACAUAUACAUUUGUUCCUUUGCAUCACCUUUCCUUUGCUUCAUUGGAAAGCACCGGGCAUUUACCCUUGUAUAUGCGAAGAUGAAGGUCUCCAGAGUGAUAGAGUUGUUGUGGCGUGCGGUAGUACUAUUCAAGGAAGCAGUGGUACCGCAGCUGUCCAUGGUAGUACCGCUCUCUAUGGUGUUGUACCGUGGCAUCUAGCCCAGAACCCUGGCAUACACGGUAGUAGGAGCGGAGCAUAGUACAACGAAUACAACGAAUACAACAAAUACAUGAGUGAGUCCGGCUGUCAGAGCAUAGUACAACGAAUACAACAAAUACUCCAAGUAGCACUUCCAGCUAGUCCUGAAUCCUGAUCACAGCACUUUCAGAGCAAGAUGCGCUUCUCCCACUCCUCCAUCCAAAUUUAUAUAUAUGCAUGUGUAUAUGUGUGUGGAGACGAGAAUCAGAUCACCAACUUGAACAUGAUUUCUUGUCUCCCACAAAUUAUGUGCGCGCAUGCUUCAUCUCCUCUUCUUUAUACACAAAAUUCCCCUCUAGGUCCAGCUACAUGAACCCCUCUUAUAGUCUAGUCUGCCAUCAACCUGACUCCGUACCAUGGCUUCUCCCUCGGAGCUGCCGGAGCUGCCGCUGGAGACGCGGUGCCUGCCGUUCGCGCUGCGCCAGUACGCCGGCUUCUGGCUGCCGGAGGCGGUGCUGGCGCGCGGCCUCCCGGCGGUGCGCGACCGCUUCGCGCCGAGGCUCGACGACGUGCUCCUCGCCAGCUUCCCCAAGUCCGGCACCACCUGGCUCAAGGCCCUCGCCUUCGCCACCGCGCGCCGUGCCGUGCACCCGCCGUCCGACCACGACCACCCGCUCCGCCACGGCAACCCGCACGACCUCGUCCCGUUCCUCGAGUUUGGCUUCACGCUCGCCUACGACGCCGACGCCCUGGCGGCCGGCCUCGAGGCGCUCCCUUCCCCGCGCCUGCUGGCCACGCACCUGCCCUUCUCCCUCCUCCCCGGCCGCCUCGCCGCCGCCGGCCGCAUCGUCUACGUCUGCCGGCACCCCAAGGACGCGCUCGUCUCAGCCUGGACCUUCACCAGGAAGGCGUCGGGGAGCAUGGGCGUGGACGCGGAGUCCUACUCGCUCCGGGAGGCCGUGGAGCUCUUCUGCGCGGGGCGCUGCGUAGCCGGCCCGCAAUGGCGGCACGUGGUCGAGUACUGGGAGGCGAGCCUCAGCCGUCGGAACGUGCUGUUCCUCAGGUACGAGGAGAUGCUCCGCGACCCCGUGGGGAGCCUGAGGACGAUGGCGGGGUUCAUGGGGUGCGCCUUCUCGCCGGGGGAGGAGGAGCGAGGCGUGCCGCAGGCCAUCGUGGAGCUGUGCAGCCUGGAGAAGCAAAAGAAUGUGGAGGCGAGUCGGGACGACGGAAGGACGGCAGAUGGCAUCAAGGCCGACGCCUACUUCAGGAAGGGGGUGGCCGCGGAUUGGAGCAGCCACAUGACGCCGGAGAUGGGGAAGAUGGUGGACGAGGCUGUGGAGGACGGGCUCCGGGGGUCUGGUUUCACCUUCGCCGACUCAACUCCGGCCAACCGUGAAAAAUGACAGAGUCGAAGCGAACCCAGAUCGUCCCCGGCACCACCUACUUCUUGUUCAAUAAUGCAUGCUUUGUGUCCUUGUUUUUGAGUCCGGUGUGCGUGUGCGCGCGCGAUGCAUAUUGUCCACGUACUGUCCAUUCAUGUAUGCGUACUUUUCUUUGGCUUCCAGAACUCAACUCAAGUGAGCUGAAAUAUGUGUGUGCUUUUAGCAUUGAACUGAACCGAUAUGCUACAACUAUGUCCCCAGCUAUAAUUCAAUUGUUACUGUUUGUUAGAAUAAAUCCGAGGCCACCGUCGAUCUACCGAGAACCAAGCAAUCACACGAGGCACGACACCGAGAUUUGUUAACGAGGUUCACCGAUAUGGCUACAUCUCCGAAGCAUAUGACUACAGGCGCUCCUUCCCAUGACACCGUCACAAUACCGCACCCCGGGCGCCCUGCGUGCCUGUGCUAUUAUGUUGGCGUAGGUUACAUCGUGUGUCUACCCCCGCUAUAUAUGAGAGGCCUAGGAUACAAGUGUCCUAGUUGGACAAUACUCCAUAUCCUAUCUAAACACAAUACUACUACAAGUCUAAUUGUAACCUAAUAAUAUUUGACACAACUCUAACAAACUCCACCUUGACGAAUAUUCUUCACCGCCUUGAAUUCAUUCAUGCGUCGAACUUCCAUGUACAUUGGACUUGAGAUACGCCAUGAGCACCGCUGCUACUCCCAGACUCCAUGUGACUCCACCUGCAACUAUAGUCCCUUCUCGUCUUCUUCGCAGUCAACACUUGAGCAAAAUUAAGUUCCUCAUUACUCUACCUUGUGCUUCAACUUUCAGAGUAUCCGUCCAAUGUCAUCACACAUCGACCACUGUCUGCGUGAAAAUGAACAACCCACAUAUUGAACGCCACACAUAAGAGUUACCAUCACACACCGGCGCAUCCAAUCACAUGACCGGUGAUCGAUCAGCGUUCGCGGAGCUGGACGAGGGCGUCACCGGUAGCGUCGGGUUCGGGGAUGGCUCCAGCGUGGCUAUCCGUGGUCGCGGCACGGUCACGUUCACCGUGCGCAGCGGCGAUCAUUGCGCUCUCACAAACGUCUACUUCAUCCCGCGUCUCAAGACGAGCAUCAUCAGCCUCGGGCAACUGGACGAGCAUGGCUGCAUCACCAAGAUCCACGGCGGUGUCCUGACUCUGUACGAUCGCCGCCAGAAUCAGUUGGCCCAGGUACGCCGAAAUGGCAGACGUCUGUAUGAUGUGCGCCUGGACAUCGCGCAUCCGGUUUGCCUGGCAGCACACGGCAGCGACGAGGCGUGGAAGUGGCAUGCCAGGUUCGGCCACCAGCACUUCGACGCGCUCCGGCGCAUGGGGCGCGCUGAUAUGGUGCGCGGGAUGCCGCUGGUGGACCAUGUGGAGCAGAUCUGCGACACGUGCUUGGUGGGGAAGCAAAGGCGUGCUCCGUUUCCCUCCCAGGCGCGCUACCGCGCGACAGGGCCUCUCGAUCUCGUUCACGCCGAUCUUUGCGGGGCCAUCACUCCGGCCACCCCCGGCGGCAAGCGCUACUUCAUGCUCGUCGUCGAUGAUCACAGUCGCUAUAUGUGGGCUAUGAUGUUGCCGGCGAAGGACGCGGCCGCGGCGAGCAUCAAACACUUUGUUGUUGUGGCUGAGGCAGAGCAAGGCGGACGACUGCGCGCAUUCCGAACGGACCGGGGCGGCGAGUUCACUUCCAGCAUGAUCGGCGAGUACUUCACAGAUCAAGGCGUACAGAGGCAUCUGACGGCACCCUACUCGCCGCAGCAGAACGGCGUGGUGGAACGGCGUAACCAGACCGUCGUCGGCAUGGCGAGGAGCAUGCUCAAGGCGAAGAACAUGCCGAGCUGGUUUUGGGGGGAGGCCGUGGCGAGUGCGGUGUUCAUCCUCAACAGGUCCUACACCCGUAGCGUCGACGGCAAGACUCCGUACGAGGCGUGGUACGGCAAGAUACCCAUCGUGCACUUCCUGCGUGUCUUCGGCUGCAUCGCCUACAUCAAGAACACGCGGCCCGGGCUGAAGAAGCUCGACGACCGCAGCACUAAUAUGGUAUUCAUUGGCUAUGAGGCGGGCUCGAAGUGCAUGUCACAAAAAUUAUACAGUAGGAAACCUCUUUCAAAUGUAAAUCCAAUAGUAUAUUAGGAUCUCGAAAUGAGUCAUGUGAAAUAGAUGAGCUAUGUAUCUACUCCAACUUGUUUCCAUGCAUGUUCUAGAUCAGUCUCUGCUUUGCUUUUGCAUCCAUGAUCCCCUCUUGCGUCAAAAUAGUAGUGAUUUGUUCCACCAGUAUAAGCAAUGUCCAACACACCCUUCGUGAAACGAUUCCUUAAUGAACACAUCCAACAAAAAACACCCUUUGCAGGCCUGGCUGGCUGGGAAGCUGCAUGUGAGCCGGUUACAAGGUAGGACAAAACGGGCGGCUGGAUCGGAACUGCCGAUAAUCACAUGACAUGACAGCCAGUCCGUCCAAAACAGUACACUACUUUAUUAGGGGGUAUAUAAGCAGUGUGAAACGUAGUACUCCAUCCAUCCGUAAAGAGAUAUAAGAGCAUUUAGAUCACUACUUUAAUGACUCUUACAUUUCUUUACAGAGGGAGUAUGUCUAAACGACUAAACCUAACAAACACUGGCAAGAUAGUUCAAAAAAGAUGGUUAAACCUAGGAUGCGCUCCACCUCUAGACACCAGUGAGUCGGACAUACACACCCAUACACCAGUGAGCCUAUAGAUCCACCGUCUCAAAUCUCCACUCCAAGUCUUUGAGCUGGGGCGUCCUCCAAACCAAUUCAUCGGCUUCGCUCCCCUGCAAGCCGAUCGGCCGGUAUGUUGGACUAGUUCAUCCUACUUACAUUUUUGUCUGUUUUUAAUUGUCUGUGGCAUACUUCCCCGCAAAAAGAAGUCUGUAGCAUACACAAGCAACACGCGUUAACCUACAAGUGAUGUCAAUAUAAUCUUGAUUUCCAUGCAGAAUCAAUGGAUGGAUGGAUCAGUGAGUUUCCGACGCCCGUGCGACACUGGAGCAUCCGUGUGGGGGUCCUUUACAGCUUAUGCGGCCACCUUCUCCUCGUCCUCACGGCCGGAAGACGGCGGCAUGAGGCCUUUGCUCUGUCACCGUUGGUGGCUACCGUGUUAGCGGACGGUAUCGACAAAUUCGUCAUCACCCUAUUGUUUAUUAGCGACAAAACAUCAAGGGAGCAGCAACUCUCCGCGUUCUGGUUGCCCUUCCUCCUAAUUCAUAUCAGUCGCCCGGACAACAUCAGCGGUUUUUCCAUUGAGGAGAAUGUGUUUUCGCCUAGCCAGAUGUUGAGUGCUGAUGCUGCUAUCUUGGGAGCCUCCAAUGCCCUGUACGUCCAUGUAAUUCGCUCCCGUCCCAGUGCCGGGACCUUGGUGCCAGCGUCCUUCCUCAUGUACGCAUUGGGUAUUUUCAAGUACUUGGAGAGGAUAAAUGCACAAAGGAGAGGCAACUUGAACAGCAUCAAGAUCUUAAUGAAGAUGAAGAAUCAGCAAAGGAGAUUCAGUUUCCAUCACACUGGUGUCCAUGGGCCCCUGGAUAAUGAUCAAGCCCUGCUUGUCGCUCACAGCAUGCUUCCUAUCACCAAAUGUGCCUUUUGUGACUGCUCGGUGGACAUGGAUCCUAACGUCCGCGAAACCGGCAGAAAGAUAUUGUCUUGUGGAUGGGAGAGUAUGUGCAAGGUGGUGGAGAUGGAGCUCUCCCUCAUGUACGACCUCAUAUACACCAAGGCAACCGUCAUCCACGUCUGGCCUGGCUACAUCAUCCGCAUCGUCUCCCCGCUAAUCAUCUGCGCCAUGCUAUUUCUGUUAACUGCUUAUGAUAAAGAAUCCCAAACAGUAGAAGAUAUUGUUAUCACUUACAUAUUGGUGGUCUCCACCUUACUACUGGAUGUAAGAUGGCUGCUGGGAGCACUAGGGUCAACCUGGGCAUAUACAUUCUUCAAAGAAUCGAGAUGGCAGUGGCUAAAGCAUGCAGUUGUCUGUGAUGGAAGAUGGCACCGGCUCCGUACCAUUGUAGUGUCUAUGAGCUCCAGGUUCGACAUGAAGCAGCCAAGUAGCUACAGGUUGUGGCGAGGAAUCAUGGGCCAGUACAACUUGUUGCAUGAGUGCACUCGUCACAACGACAAUCCAAUAAGUGUAAGUAGUAUGAUGGGCUUGUUCUACCUCCAACCACAGGAGAGCAUGAUGCAGCACGAAUACCAUGACAGACGUGGCUUUAGGAUUCCACAAGAUUUGAAGGGUCUGUUGUUCGAACGCAUAUGGGAAAAGUUGAAGUUAUCAUACACACCCGGCAAGGUUCAGGAGGAAGAAGUUGUGCAGUUUGAUCCUGAUGAGUUGCAAGAGCUCAUUCUUAUCUGGCACAUGGCAACGGACAUUUUCCUCCAAAAGGUCACCUUUGCAGAUGAAAAAUCUCAAAAAUAUGUGAAGUUGAUCAGCAAGCUGUCUAACUACCUGGUGUUCCUCGUGGUUGUAUGCCCCAACAUGCUACCGGUCCGUAAGCUGCCAAGCAAGUAUGAAGAAACCAACAAAGCGUUGAGGGACUAUUUGAGUGAUGAAAAGAGGCCUCCUAGUUGCAAAACAAGAGAGCAGAAGAUUGCCUUUAUCCUGGAACAGAUGGGGGACGGAAAUAGUACUAGUAGCAUUGUUCUGUCGGAUGGUAAUCAAUAUGCCGGUGUGCUACGAAGCUGUUUUGCCGAAGGGGGGUAUAUCGACCUAGUUGAGAAGAUGGGGGAAAAGUCCCGCCGAAGAUUUAAGAAGUUGAUGCCGGGAUUGUGUUCUUACUCUGAGUUGGUCACCGAUGAAGAACUGUUGUUGAAUCUCAUCUUUGAUGCAUGGGUACUUUUGCUCAUGAAUGCGUCCAAAGGGUCUAGCAGGGAUUCCCAUGCCAAGCAGCUCGGCCAUGGCGGCGACCUCGUAACCAUAGUGUGGAUCAUGACAAUACAUGCCAACAUAUUUGGCAUCCAAGAGGAAAAUAACGGGGUCUGCUAAUUAGUAAAGCUCGUUGGUAUGUUCUAGUACCAAUCAUUUGCCUAGUGUCCCUAUCUCCCUUUUUGGAUUGGCUACUCAUGUGUAUUUGUAUUUUUGUUCACUGUUUUGUUUGGAAUUAGCUGUUCUUCGUCAGGUUGUCAGUGUAAGUCCUCUGCUCCUCCAUGUGAGGAGGCUACAUUCAGGCUUGUAAGCAAAAAUAAUAAUAUCAAUGUUCUAUAUGAAUUUAGUGCUUUGCCUGGUGCUGGAGCCACAGACAAAUUGCAUAGGCUAGUUCCUUUAUUAAUAAGUUAUAAGCUUUUUUUUUUGCAGGGGAGUAACAAUGUUAGUAAUUCGUUUCUUCGCCAACCUACAAAAUAAAUGUGUGGUUCUUAUUAUUUUCAUUAACAUUGAAUGGUGACCGGUAAGCGACCGAGAGCAUGAGCGAGAGUGAGAAUGGAAGCAGGCAGAUCUUGCCACCAUGAUGGAGGGUGAUAUUUUCUACUAUAGCUAGUGAUGCCGUGUUAUGGACGAUGGUGUGAUUGUGGUGGGGCGAGCGGUGGAGAAUGAUUUCCCCAUCCCACUUACUUCAAUUCCAAUCUAGGUGGUCAAACCAUGGUUCGAUGUAUGGCAGCUGCCGAUUGCUAUCUGUGAACCAGUGCAAUUCACACGAGGUGAGGCGCGUCGCCGCUCCCCUCCAUUGGUGAGGUGUUAGUAUCCGCCAUGCCAAGGCAGGGGAGUGUCAGCAUGGAGUACUAGCUCGCAUGACUUUCGGAGGAUCCAUUGUCAAAAUAGUGUUUAGAGCACCCCUUCAUUUGUGUGGUGGAAACUCUUGUUCUAGCCUUCAUCGGUCGGCUUCAGCAGCAACAAAUUUGAGUUGUUACCUUAUUGAAGGUGUUGUCCCCUUGCUGAUGUGUUGACCUUAAUUGGUCAAUCUCGGCAACUAGGAUAUAUCCUUGUCUUUGUCGUAUCCGGCAUAUAUCCCUUCUCAAAGGCGUUGUUGCUAAAAAAGUCAACUUGGUUGUAGGUAUUAAAUUCAUAUCUUGUAAUGGGUUUAUUGUAAGUCAACUUAGUCGUAAUUGUGCUUGUCAUAUACACCUUCUGUCCCCCAACAUAAGACAUUUUGUCCCAGAAUAUAAGACGUUUUGGCAGUUCAACUUUAAUGUAAUUGUCUUGUUAUGGGUCUAUCGUAAUUGUGCUCACUAUGUUCCUAAAUUCAAAUUGAAAUGCUAAAACAUCUUAUAUUUAAGAACAAAGGUAGUAGUUUGCUUGUUGAUAUCUUUGGCCUCUUAUCUUGCAUCGACUUUAAUAAACUUGGUUGUGUGCAUCACAAUGAUGCAAAUGCCGGGGGUUCAACCUCCAUUCCGAAAGAAAAGAAAAAGGCGUGGGUGCAUGCGGUGCAUGAGCGUAAGAGGAGUAAUGCUAGAGCCAUGGGGAUUAAUUUACGGGGUUAACGAACGAACUAAUCAUGGGCCAAUAGGAUUGCAGAUUGGGGGAGGUUGGGACCCACCCCGGNNNNNNNNNNNNNNNNNNNNNNNNNNNNNNNNNNNNNNNNNNNNNNNNNNNNNNNNNNNNNNNNNNNNNNNNNNNNNNNNNNNNNNNNNNNNNNNNNNNNNNNNNNNNNNNNNNNNNNNNNNNNNNNNNNNNNNNNNNNNNNNNNNNNNNNNNNNNNNNNNNNNNNNNNNNNNNNNNNNNNNNNNNNNNNNNNNNNNNNNNNNNNNNNNNNNNNNNNNNNNNNNNNNNNNNNNNNNNNNNNNNNNNNNNNNNNNNNNNNNNNNNNNNNNNNNNNNNNNNNNNNNNGUCCGUGUGUCUAGUAUUAUCAGCGUAAGAGGCUGGGCUAUGUGCACACCGUGUGUGGACUUUGAAUAUUCAGAUUAAAAAUAUGAUAACUAAAAAAAUAAAAAUUACAUGGUUUAUUGUAUUUAAUUAUUUUAUGGUUGUAAAAUAUUUAUUGAAUAUAACUAGCAUAAUACUCCCUCCGUUGCUAAAUAUUUGUCUUUUUAGAGAUUUCAAAUUGACUACCACAUAUGGAUGUAUAUAGACAUAUUUUAGAGUGUAGAUUCACUCAUUUUGCUCCGUAUUAGUCACUUGUUGAAAUCUCUAGAAAGACAAAUAUUUAGAAACGGAGGGAGUACAAUGAAAACUUACAUGCAUGCGUGUAUGUUCAGAUGAGUCUUUUUCAUGCAGUAAGUUGCCAUGCUAAAAUGGUAUAUGUGCAUCUUAAGAGAAAUAGGCUAAUGAACAUCAUCUUUGUAGUUAUAGAAUAUAUCAUAAAAAUAAGUAUGCAUGUAGGAUGACAACACACUGAUUAAUUAUAAACACAAGCAAGCAAGCAACACACUAAUUGUAAAUAGUGACCUGUUACUGUAGUAUCAUCGUCAAACGUCGGUCCCAUGGUCAGCCAGCAAGCGUUACUGAUCACAUUCAUCAAUGAGAUCAAUGACAUCAACAACUUCUUUUUUAGAUAAUAACAACUGCCAUCUUGUUGGCUUAUUCAUGCUUCGCUUGCGCCCUGACAUCCGUCUGAGUUUUCGAUGUCUUCCCAGGAUACAUGAGGAGGAAUACAGUGGCAACAAUGGCCAGAAAAGCAUUAAACGAGAAAUACAAACAAGCUCCCCUCCUCUCGCGAAAAGAAAUACUACAACACAUUUCACCUUGCUGCCCGAUUCGCAUCGCAGGCAAAGCACUUCCAAACUGCUUGUCGCAUUUCUGUAAACCAUGUGCUUGCCCUGGGAAGAUCUCGAAAACAUCAAGAGCCCCGGCUUGGGGUCACACUAUUCAGUAUAGCUACUUCAGUAUCAGCUUCCAACUGUAUAAUGUUCCAAAAAAAUGUCACUUCUUGAGCAACCUCAGUACAUCGCCGAUGAGAUGCAGAGAGCCAGUAACCAGGACCUACACACAAACAUAUCAUCAGCGUCACGUGUGACUUACUAUUAGGUUGCAAACAUAACAAGGACAAGGUACAUGUCUUCCUGAUUACGUACGAGAUAGUGCUAUAAAUAUGUGUAGUGCCAUGUCGAAAGGAUAGAAAAUUAAACAUAUUAUGAGGCAUUACUCGUGAUCUAGAAGCACAAAGCAGUGUUAAACAUAUUAUGGAUGUUUUGUACUAUAAAAUUUAGAGAAGUUAGUUCGAGAAAAGUUUUCACCUGAUAAGAAGUGGAUGGAUCCUCUACCGCAUUUUUCCUUAGCCACUCAAUUGCUAGUGGCAGUGAUUCAAACACUAGGCUAGUCUCGCCAGAAUCCGUGCUGUUUGAACCUGCAUCAUUUACUCACAAUUCAGUAUAAAGUAUCAUCUUCAGCCUGACCAUGCAUUGUUGCAAUUAGAAAACGACAACGCAGUAGUAGAAGUGGUACAAAUUGUUAGAACAGGGUUGUACUUUUUGUAGUUCUCAUAAUGUACAGGGGCUUCUUUGCUUAUUUCCCUCGCAUGUAUAUGUACUGCUGGCCCCGUGGAAUAGAAGCUCAUUUCAUAACACAAGUGACUAAAGCUUGUAAGCAACCAAGUUCAGGCGAACCUUUAUUAUCAUCAUGAAGUAAUUUCUCCCACACUGCUUGGAGAGAUAGCUGCCAUGACAAAUCAAUUUGCUCAGGACCAGCAGGUGCUGAUGCCUUAGAACCAAGCUUGUUGUGUUGUGACUGAUUUGGCACAAAUAGGGCCAGAUCAAAGUGCACCCCUGAACAAAAUGAGAUAGCAAUACAUAUGUUCAGUUAGCUGAAAACUGGAACAAACAGCAGACUUGAAAGAGGGCUAAGCAUCAAGCAAUGCAGUAAGUUAGCUUUGAACUGAAGUUGUUAGUAAAUUCAACCUCCAAGAGAAGUACAAUACAAUGCAAAAAAAUCAUAAAUGAGCGCACAUGAGCAUUUUCAACAGCACGUGUUUCAACUUACCAUUUUGAGUUGCAGUAUCAACGAGAUGUGGAAGCAAUCUCAUAGGAUCUCUCACAGACAUGCAGUUGAAUAGAAGAAUCUGCAAUGUGUCCCAUAGAAGACACCCGUAUGAGGGAGAAGACUGAAACGAUACAUGCAAAAGCAAGUCACUCAAACAUGAUAAAACUAGACAGGCUGUGAGAAAUACCUUCCGAGAUUUGCUGCAAGUCUGAGACUGCUCCUUGGUAGCAUGGGAAAACCACCUCGCACAUAUUUCCAUACUUUCAGGGCUGUGUGCCCCAUCCAAAUAGAAUACCAAAGAACUAUCUUGGCCCUUCUCUUCUGAAUUUACUUGUGAAUCUGGAACAAUUUGCGCUCGGCCUUGCAAAGAAGCACUUGACAGCCCUCUAAUGAACUGAUCUGGUAAGGGAUCCUGAACUCCACCACAGAUGAACUAAUUAUGAUACCAUCUUUGUUUUUGGGAGAAGCAACAUGAAUUGACAAGACUUACAGUGUGGUUGAGUGGCAUUCUGUCCACGUGUCCCUGCUUCUCAAGCCAUGUACUAGCGAGUGCGACUGCAAGGCCAGCAUUUUCAUAUUGGUGUUCACCUUGCAGUCCAAGAUGUUGAUCUUUCAACUGAUGUGGCUUCAAAGGAUCAACGACUUGGAGUGAAAUCUUCAAAAAGCACAGAGUAUAGUAUUUCAAAAACUGUAUUCCAUUGUUUCUAGUACUGUGGUUACAAACAACAAGCAGGGCAGCAACCAAAAAGGAAAUGAAAACGGAUAAAAAAAAACAUACGCCCAAUUCUGAAGCUCUUCGUUUGAGAGCAACCAUUGCCUCUUCUGGCUGUGGAGCAGUGUAAGCUGGAACUCCUUUCUGUAAACAACAAUGUUAAUGUUAACAAAAGACGCCACCAAGAUACCAAAACAUAAUAAGAAAUUUCUGUGAAUAUCAAUGUUAAUAUGGUAUAGAACAACUUCUUGGGAAAGUAAUAUAUUGUAUUUUCUGAACUACAAACACCAUCAGUUACAAAAAAAGAGGCAAUAUAUGUAACAUGUUGUAGAACAACUUCUUGGGAAAGUAGCCACAAGAAAACCUUGAAAAUUCCAGCCUUCUCCCCAGCAAUUUCACCAAGCGUAUUUCCUGAUCAUCAGCAAAAAAAAAAACAUGUCAGCAUGAAACUAAUUUUCCUAAUAAAAGGGGUACUUCAAUUGCCAGUUUCAUGACUAACCAAGAAUUUCCAUAUGAUCAUAUCCAAGAGAGGAUAUUCCACAGACUACAGGAGAUUUAACCUGCAGAGAUCCAAAUUCAGACAACGGUCAUGCUCUAAUUUGACUGUUUUUAGUGUAUAAUUCUGCCGAGCUCAGAAGGGCUCAGAAGAAAUAGAAGCUAAACUCGAAUGCUUGAAUACUAACAAGAAUCAAGAAUUUAGAUGGACCUAAAUGAAUAUAUUCCGCACUCCUAGUAUGGUUUGGAACUCAGGGUGCAGAUUAAGGCGAACAAGGCCGGCAAUAGACUUAAAUGGCAUAGUUCAAGAUUCUUCUUUUGUCUUCUAGACAAAAUGAGCACAUUACUGAAGAAGAGUCACAUACCACAUUAGUUGCAUCGAACUUCCCUCCAAGACCAACCUCGAGAAGAGCUACAUCUACCUGUUUGAGGCAAGAAACAGGUGUGAGUAGAUCAAUAAUGUUCUUCUGAAAAUGCAUAUGCGGAACCUAAUUUAGAAAUCUCAAAAUGAAUAUGUGAUAGCUGAUCAUCACAUAGGUUUUGUACCUUAAAAUCAUAGAUUGUAGCACAAUGCUAUGCAAGUGAAAUGGUGAAGAAACGGGAACAUUGCAUGGAGUAAUCUUAUUCAGGCUAGAUUUAUGUAAUGACUGAAAACAAACCAGUAGGGAAAGAGUAUGGAGUGUUUUCUGUCUAUUACCUGCUCAGCAGAAAAGAUCUUGAAUGCGAGCAAGGCCAUGAACCUGAAAUACGCUGGCAUGGGAAUAUCAUCAUCAGUCUUCUCCUGAAGAGUGAAGAUAAGCCCAUUUGUCUCAUUAUCCACCAGGUACAUAAUUAAAGCAGCACAAAAAGACAAGACAUCUAUGUUUCAUCACUCCUAUGCACCUAGCACAGAGUUCCAUCACAUGAAAGACAACAAAUUUGGACAUGUACCUUCAGUUUAUUCCAGCAGCACCAGAAGUACUUCAAAAACUUCUCUUCAGAAAUAUCCACCCUGGUUGCAUCACAAGUUAGGGGCCAGGUUAGUGCACGCAUAAUACCUAAGCAUAGUGAUAAGCUAAAUGUAAAGAAUGGUGCAGCACAUUUGCAUACAAAAAAAUAUUGUGAAUAAAUACGAGGAGCCUAUCGUUAUUACUUAUCAACACCAGGUUAGCACAUGCAUAGUACCUAAGCAUAGGACAAGCUAAAUUUAAACAAAGUUCACUGUCAGGUGUUCCCCUACAGUUUUCAGAAGAAAAAAGUAAAAGGGCUGUGCAGCACAUUCGGAUGUACUCCCUCCGUUUCUAAAUAGAAGUAUUUUUAUAUAUUUCAAUAAAAACUACAUACGGAUGUAUAUAGACUACAUACGGAUGUACUCCCUUCGUUUCUAAAUAUAAGUAAUUUUAGAUAUUUCAAUAAAAACUAAAUACGGAUGUAUAUAGCAUAUUUUAGAGUGUAGAUUCACUCAUUUUGUUCCGUAUGUAGUCCCUUAUUGGAAUCUCUAAAAAGACUUAUGUUUAGGAACGGAGGGAGUAAGAAAUUAUUGUGAAUAAUAACAAGGAGCUGUCGUUAUCACUUAUCAACACCAUAAGAAAAAAUAAGAGCAAGAACAAUUGAUGAACAAAUUACCCAUCUAGCCGGAACCGCUCCCGGACAUCCAUCAAAUGCGGUGAUGUGAAUAGCCCGGUACGGAAGCCACAGGAUCGCAGGAUUGACUCCGUGAAUGUGCAUGUCGAACCCUACACAAAUGGUCCAUGGUGUUGGUGGUCACAUAAUAGUACAUCAUAAAGAAGCCAAGGACUUGAUUAAUCGCAGGAUGUGGCAUUCAGCAAUUUUCAACUACCAACCAGGAGAGCUGUGUAGCUGGUUACACACUGCACUGCGGUGCCAAAUGGUAGCACUAAACUAAUUGUUUGGUAAAACUUGAUUGUUGCACAUUAGUUGCUUAAAAAAUUUCAGGACCAAAUUGGAAUGCCCCAAUCAUUAGCGAUGAAGUUUCUGAAUCACAGUUGAAAUGAAAGGAAAUCGCACAUACUACAGAAGUUGCAUAUGAAGUGGUUUACCUUCCCUUUGGUGCCGGCGACAUGGAUGACCUUCAUCCGCGCGAUGGGCUCCUCCAGCUCCAGAAUCUGAAGGAACAAAUCCGCCCUCUAGAUCAGACAAGGAAUUCCUCCAUCGCGAUUCAGGCGGAGCGUGAGGAGGAGGAGGGAGGGGAUGGACCUGGAGGUAGCGGGCCAUGAGGUCCCACUGGUUGCCGCGGUUGCCGGUGUCGGCGCGCACCUUCUGCGUGAUGAGCGAGGAGAGGCGCCCCAGCACCUCCUCGUACUCCCCCGCCGCCGCGCCACCUGCAGCCCGAACGCACAUCAGUACAGUACCCAGCACAACGGGCACCACUACUCCACUAGUGCCACUCCACGAAGCUAGCAAGCCCCGAUCGGGUCGCGCGGCUCACCUGCGUGCUCCGCGGCGGCGGUGGUGGAGGACUCCAUGGCGCGGGGGAGGAUGCGGCGGGUGCGGGAGGAGGAGAAGGAGGCGAGCGGCGAGGAGAGGAGGAGGCGGCGGCGGAGGGUGGCGGCGGCGACGGCGACGAGAGGGGGGUGAGGCAUGGGCGGCGCGCGGCCGAUGUGGGGGUGGGUGGGUAGGUGGUGGUGGUGGUGCCACCGUGGUGGGCCCCGCAUCGUUCGCUGGUCGUCAGACAGACAGACAGACAGAGUUCGCUUUGACCCCGUGGACCCUGCCUACCUCGCUGACGAGCGGGCCCAGUUCCGCGAGACGAUCUACCGCACCGUCGAUACCGCUUUCGGCCGUGGGAGGCGUAUUCCGGAGCAUUUUACAGACUGCGCCUUCGCUCGGAGAUGAUGCACUGUUUGGUCAUCUGCAUGAGUUUGUGUAUAUCUACUUGAAACCAUAUACAGGGUUCUACUCCCUCCGUUCCUAAAUAUUUGUCUUUUCAAAGAUUUCAAAUGGACUACCACAUACAGAUGUAUAUAGACAUAUUUAGAGCGUAGAUUCACUCAUUUUGCUUCGUAUGUAGUCACUUGUUGAAAUCUCUAGAAAGACAAAUAUUUAGGAACGGAGGAAGUAAAAAAAAUAUAGGGGCAAGAAUUGCCGGCUUAACCGGCAAGAAUUGAACAGCACAGCACAGGUAAAAGAACAGCACAAGUAAAACACACGGAACAAGCAUUUUUGAAGAGUAAUUAAUAGAGGGGACAAAUUAUGGCAACUUCUCAAGACUUUAUUUCUCGUUCGGCUUUCACAUCACAUCACAGCCAGCAGCGGCAAAAUUUCGUGUUUUGACUCUUUUGCGAUAUAAAAUCAGGAUCUGACCCCGUUUGGAAUAUUUUCGGGAUUUGACCCUUUUGCUACCGCAAGGGCCAUUGGCGGUAGGGUACACAGCCUACCGCCAGAGCCCCUGGCGGUAGGGUGUGAUGGAGGGGGGCGGCGGCCGUUUGCCUGUGCUGACGUGGAUAGUACCUUACCGCUAGGGGCCUUGGCGGUAGGCGGUCUAAACCUACCGCCAGAGCCACUGGCAGUAAGGUGUGGCAGGGUUUUGCCGUACAAACUUUAUGUAACGAAAUAUGCAAGGACCCUGGCGGUAGGGGCCUUGGCGGUAGGAUGUCUAACCCUACUGCCAGGGUGCCUGGCGGUAGGUUCACCCUACCGCCGUGGGGGUUGGCGGUAGGAUGUCUAACCCUACCGCCAGGGUGCCUGACGGUAGGGUCCUCUGUUUUGUUUUUUCAAGUUCAUUUGGUUGCUUGUUUUUGAAUUCAAUAUGACAACAAUAUCACAGCAAGUUUCACAAAUAUGACAACAAUAUAUGAGCUCACAUAUUAAUAAAGGUUCCACAUAGCAAAUAUCAAACGGUUUACACAUAGAUUCAUAAGUAGGAAAUAGCAAAUAGCAAACUUGUCCACAUAGUUUGACAACCCCUACUAAAACAUAGAUGCAUAUCCAAUGGACAUGUUUNNNNNNNNNNNNNNNNNNNNNNNNNNNNNNNNNNNNNNNNNNNNNNNNNNNNNNNNNNNNNNNNNNNNNNNNNNNNNNNNNNNNNNNNNNNNNNNNNNNNNNNNNNNNNNNNNNNNNNNNNNNNNNNNNNNNNNNNNNNNNNNNNNNNNNNNNNNNNNNNNNNNNNNNNNNNNNNNNNNNNNNNNNNNNNNNNNNNNNNNNNNNNNNNNNNNNNNNNNNNNNNNNNNNNNNNNNNNNNNNNNNNNNNNNNNNNNNNNNNNNNNNNNNNNNNNNNNNNNNNNNNNNNNNNNNNNNNNNNNNNAGCACUCCCACCUUGCCUUGCCAGCUGGAGUUUUCGCCUCCGCCCUUCCCCAGCUGAUGAUACCGAACGCCGAUGCAUUUGGGGCCGGCAUCCUGGCUCUCUCCUCCGCAUUGCUCUCGAAGUAGAUCCUCCGGUCCAAAUUGCGCAGCUCCCAGUUGGAGUGCUGCUUGGCAACUUCAAUGGUCGCUUCCCGGCGUUCACGGGAGAUAGUUGGAUCUCCCUCCAUCUCUGCCUUCACUCUCUUCCACUCCUUCACACUCAGCGACCAACACUUCACAUCGUCGGCGAUCCGUUCUGCCCUCUCGUGCCACCGCACUGCCCUCGUCUCCUGUAGGAACUCGUCUGAAAAAGCGGUCACCGGCUGCAGAAGCUCGGGGAAGGACUCGUACACGUACGGAAGUGGCAAGCCGGACGGGUCGUGUUGGAGAUGAAUGGGCGAUGGUUGCGCCACUGUUGCAGACCUAAACAUAUGGAUCAAAUAAAUAAAAUACACAUAUCAAGAUGUGUCAAAUGCAAAAUCAUACCAUAUCAUACCAACCAAAUCCACUACUUGCAUCAUAUAUAUUUUGUUUACUACAAUAUGCAUCAUAUCAACAUGCAUCAUAUCAUAAAAAAAUCACCCAACAUUCAUCUUGAAUGUAUUAUCUCCAAACAACAUCUUCAUAUCAUCAUAUCAACAUGCAUCAUAAAACUACUAUCAAGUCCUCCCACAUGCAUUACAUCAUAAACUUUUUAACAAAAAAACUAUGAACUAGGGUUCAUCUUCACACUAACAUAUGAACUAUUGAUUAGAGUUCAUAUUCAAUACCACUAUUUACUAAAGAACUAAGAACUACAACUACAAUCAAGCUAAAACAAUCUUAGGUGAAAAAAUCCAAUCUAAAUUCAAAAACAUGAGGGAUUUCUAGCAAAUAAUGCGUCGAAUCGGAAGCAAGCUUGCAAAAACUAAUUGGAGGGAUUGGAGGAGCUUACGUUUCUCUCUUCGAGGCCAUCUCGAUCCGCAAAAACGGUCAACAAACGGUGAAGAGCCGAGGGGGGGAGUGGAGGAGAUGAGAGGGAGAGAGAGGCGACUUGGGGGAAGAAAAAGAAGAACUGCCAACAGGGGGGAGGGGGAGGGGUGGGGAGAUGGGCAGGGGCGUGGGGGUUUCGGGGAAAUAACUGCCUGGACCCUACCGCCAGGGGCUCUGGCGGUAGGCUGUCUAACCCUACUGCCAGAGCCUCUGGCGGUAGGAAAAAGGGUCAAAUCCCGAAAAAAAUUCAAACCAGGGCCAGAUCUUGAUUUUGUUUGUCAAAAGGGUCAAAACACAAAAUUUAGCCGCCAGCAGCGAUACAACCUUUGCACCCAGAAAAAACAUGAACAUGACCCGGGCACCUCCCACUCUGACCGGCUCCACAUACUUGCAGCAACGAGAAACAACUACUCCAGGUAAGUCCGACACUACGGCUACUAGGACGGCAGUAACAGUUGAGAAGACAACGAUUCUUUGGCACACCCAUUCCAAUCGGCUUCAGGUCAAUAUCCCUAUGCUACACUACGACGACAGAAUGAAAACGCAGUAGACGAUGGCUCAGCGGUCCAUUGACUCCUUCUGGUUCCAUGAGCAGCUCCAUACUGCAAACACAAGAAAUCGAAGAGUGGGGGGCGAAUUAAUGCGACGGCGAAGGGAUUCAAACUAGAAGACGAGAGUGCCAGGGAAAUAUAGUGGGGAUUAUACCUCGGUUCCUUCAGCCGCGAGCCCUGCGGCCACCGGCGCCGCGGCCACCGCCCUGGUUCGCCCUGCCGCGGCCGCUGCCGCCGUGCUUCCCGCGGCCGCCACCGCCACCGCCGUGCUUGGGGACGCUCUGGUUGCCGCCGCGGCCGCCGCCACCAUGCUUCCCGCGGCCGCCACCGCCACCGCCGUGCUUGGGGACGUUCUGGGUGCCGCCACGGCCGCCGGCGUUGCUCUUGUUGCCCUUCCCAGCCUGGCCCUCGCGCUUGCCAUGGCCCCUCUGCUGAGGGGGCAUGUCCUUCGCCUUUGACUUGCGACGACGACGGGAUGGACCUGCGGCCUUGUGCGUUUUGGGGCGGGCAGCGACCAAGACAGCAAUGCGCUUCUUCUCCUGCUCCUCACAGUACCUGCAGCAGCAGCAGCACACAAACACAACGGCUUCUUCACGCGAUGGUAGUUCGUCCCUACUUCUUCCACACCCAUGAUGAAAUUGUUGAACUUGGAUGGAUCAUUUCUCAUUUCUUAUACUAAACAUUUUUAAUUCGUCAUAAUUUAUAUUCUCACCAAACAUAUAUCCACUUCAUAGUAAUAUACAACAUUCAACAUAAUAUUUUAAAUAAUAUUUUGAAGUGUAUUCAAUGAGAACAACACUACAAGCUGGCUAUAUUAUAAUGUAUAUUUUCAUAAAUUAUUAAGCAAAUAUUAUUUUAUCUUAUUAUUUUAGUUUGACAUAUAUAGCGUAAAUCUUUUAGCACCACAUUAAUAUUUAAGCAUGUCAAAACGAUCAAGUUAACCCCACAAAUUAGUUGAUGCUUCUAGUGUUUAUAGUAAACCUAUAUGUGACUCGCUAUAGUGUUCUUGAAUAUCUAUACAACUUGGUUCAGAGUGUUAGAUUUAUGAAUAUUACAAAUGAUUCUGAGAGGUUUCUAGAGUAUAGAACUACCUUGUUUCGGUAUGAAAUAAAUAACUCUCUAGCGUAUGAGGUGACAACUAGCAAUUUUUCCUCGAAUCCCCUCUGCCACUCUCACUUGUUGGCAGAUGUCAUCCUCUUAGGACCCUAGCACAAAGCCUCACCGGCUUGUUUAACAAUCUCCAAGCAUGUUUUGAACAAUUGUAGGUCUCUAAAACCCGUGCCUGCUCUAGAUUUGGAAACUGAGAUGCCCUCCCAAGACUGCGAAUGUAAUCCUCUCUUAUCAGGUGAUCCCACCCACCAAUACUUUUGGACAUAAUAGCCGUUGCUCUGCGACAUAAACCUUUUGUGAGCUUAAAACAAUAUUAAAAGGGUUGCGCAUGCUAAAAAAAAUUGCGCAUACUUCCGGCCCUCUCACACCUCCAUUGAUUUCGAUCGUUUGAUCACACACCCUGGUCGACAUUGCUGGCCGUACGAUGCAACUCUUGCUCCUGUGGGGUUGGCAUUCUGAGAACAAAAUUGGAGGCCUCUUGGUCAUUGAUGCGGGUUGACGCCCGAUGCCGAACGGACGAUCACGCGAUACGACACCUCCGAGCCUCGCUCCCGCAUCAGGUGCAAAUGGACAUAGAGCCUGGUCAGCUACCACAGACCUAGCCCAUUUGGGCCAAUUUUGCGGCGGAUGUCCGGUUUUGUUACUUGAGUAGUAGGUCAAUAACAUGGAACGUUACAUGGUCAACAAAGUUGUUCAUCCAUCUAACCUCCAAGAACACCCAAAGCUAGUACACUAGCGUAAAAAAAAUGCUCUUAUAUUAUGGAACGGAGGGAGUAGAUCCUACGAUUUUAUACACUAAUGGUCAGAGAAGGCAGGAUCAGUGCACAGUGCAUACUUCCGGCCAUCUCAUACCUACAAUGAUUUCGACCGUGCCACGCAGCUCCAGCCUGGGUGGGGGCGCUUGUCAUGGUGAAGCAGAGGAUGAGGAGGGUGCCCAGGCCAGGCCGUUGUGUUCGUGUCGCGCUCUGCUCUUGUGAGCUUGGUGCGGACGGAACGGAACGGCGCAUGUGAUCUCUACCAAGUACUCCCUCCGCUCCGAAUUACUUGUCUCGGAAAUGGAUGUAGCUUCACAAAUCUCCCAACCACCUCUGCUCGUCAUAUAGCCACAGGGAGUAUCUUUAUCCGUCAUUAGUGGGCAGGAUACAAGCUCAAAACAACACCUAAAAACAGAGUAGGUCAUUAGAGCGCAAGGCAUGGAAAAGACACCCAGAGAGUCGCUGGUGGAGAAGCUAUAAUCCUGAACCUGUAAAGAGCAGCAAAUUUCAUACUCCCUCCGUCCCAUAAUAUAAGAGUGUUAGUGUAAAAAACGCUCUUAUAUUAAUGGGACGGAGGGAGUACAUCACAGAGAAAAACCAAUUCGCAGAAAUCGACAAACUAAAGUAGAGGCACAUCAUAAGCUCACAAGCAUGGCAGCCCCGUCGAUCGGGUAAUUUUAGGAAGAUAAUGAUAGUUGUUAUCUAAAAUGAUGACAGGAACAUUCAUAAGUCAACUAAGAUGAUGAUAGUUGUUAUCUAAAACCAAACAAGUUGAUGACCACCACCAAGUCCAUGGACUCAACAGGCUACAUACAUACAGACAUGAGAAACCGACCGACAGGCGUGACCGAUGUCGAUCGGGUAAUUUAGGACUUUGUACACCCCGUCUUGCACUUGUUCAUGGUCGGGUAGCAGUAAUCUUUUGGAACGCAGCAAAAGCAGUCUCCGUGGGAGCUGCAUUGCUCCUGAUCUACAAGAAUGCACAACCCAUUUUGGUAAAUUGAUCUUGUCAGACGCAAUUCGGCCUGUGAUAAGAUAUAUACAAUUAUUUUAGAGCAGAAUAAAUAAACGCGCGCAACAGAUCAGACAAGAACCUAACGAAAGAAAGAAAGAAAAAAAAGGCAUUCACUAGUACAUACCUGCAGGACAAGUGCCAAAAUUAACCCGGUUAUCAUCGAUGAGAUAGAUUGAUUUGAUUAAAAAACAGUGAAACUCAGUAUCACAUUUUAGAGACGUUAUUAAAACUGGUUGCAGGAUCUUUAGUUGGUAGCCCAUUGGAACCUUGAUGAGAAACAGGGGUUGUAAAAUCUGUUGAAAACCAGCUGGGUGCAUGAAAAACAAGUAGAUAAAGGUAACUAAAGAUGCCACUCAGCAUAACCUGGAUGGAUGGGUAAAAAUGACCGACGACGCACCUGCCCAGGUGAUGGCCGACGUCCCGACGGCGAAGCAGAGGAGGAGGAGGACGGCCGUGGUGUUGGUUGGGGCUGCGCUUGUCAUGGCGGUUGGGUUGCGGCGAACCUCUACUCAUCAUAGUCAUAGCUUCAUAGGGAGGAGUAUCAACUAGCAGCAGUAAGCUUCAUAAGAGACAAUAAUCAAUCCCAAUCACAGCCUCAAACGAACCAUCAAGUCAACUCAUGUAAAAUACAUCAUACAUCAAAGAGAAAUAUCUCGAUUCUGCGAAUCGAAAUGAUCUCUUAACUAUAUAAUCCUCACCUGGAGAGUCGCCCAUGGAGAAGCUAUAUAAUCCUGAACCUGUUAAAGUGUCAAGUGCAGAAAAUUUCAUAUUGGUGCAACAUGCAACAUCUUCAUAUGCACGCCCAAGAUCCUUACAGAAAGACAUUUGCACGGUAUUUCAGAUAUUUCAUACUCCAAGAAUUCAAAAUGCUCAAAUCAGCUUCAUACUCCAAGUGGCAUCUUGUAAAAUUAAAGUGCCUAUUAAAGUGAGGCCAGACAUGCAUUCACCAGCAGCUCUCCCUCCUUCAGCCUUAGGGUAGAGGGGGGCAUAGCAGAAAUGCUCUCGAGACACCCUGACUGAUUGAUCAGGAAGAUAAUGGUCAUAGUUUUACUCAUAUAAACUAGUAGCAGUAAGCUUCACAAGAGACAAUAAUCCAUUCCAAUGACAGCCUCAAACGAAGCAUCAAGUCAACUCAUGUUUACAGCUAACAACAGCAAUACAUCAUCAUCAUACAUAGAGAAAAUCGGUUCGCACAAACCGACAAACUAAACUAGAGGCACAUCAUAAGCUCGCAAGCAUUUUGUUUCGCCAGUAAAGACAGCAUCGAGUUCCUUCCUCGACCAGACAGCGGCUCAGCUCACAUCAUCUACCUCCUCACGGGAGGCGCGCCACCUCGUCCUCCACCAACUGGGGGGCCACCACCACGACCACCAGCAGCCUGCAUCCAAUUUUUCGGCAAGUUCAGAUGUUAGUGACUUGUAUACAUACAGCUGUUGACUAAUUUGCGUUUGCCAAACACAAAGUUCAUCCAAGGAUCAAUAAUAACAAGCCAAACAAUACAACAUAGCUAUUUGUUCAUUCUCAUAUUUUAC